rnacentral:lncRNA from 1 species
AUUCAAUUAUGGGUCGCUGAAGGUAUUGUGUCAUCAAAGCAAGAAGAAAGAGACGGUGGGGAAAUUGCGGAAGAUGUGGCGGAAUCUUAUUUAAUGGAGCUUGUGGAAAGGUGCAUGAUUCAAGUACGAGAAAGAGAUGUGGCAACCUUAAAGGUCAAAACGAUUCAGAUGCAUGAUCUGAUGAGAGAUCUUUGCUUAUCAAAAGCAAAACAAGAAAAUUUUGUCUUCAUUGUUGAUCGACCGAAUGCAUCUUCAUUAUCUAUGAUUCGGAAGGUUCGUAGGGUUUCUGUGCGUAAGUUUUUUUCCAUACAAUGCAUUAAAAGUCCAAAUAUUCGGUCACUUUUGUUCUUCAAUCAGUUCUUUCCGGAUGAGGCAUUAGAAAAAUCUUUGCCUUUGGAAGUGUUGAAUUACGUUAAAGAACACUACGACGAUUGUUGUAAUCCACUAUUUUGGAUUCUUAUGAUUUUGGCACGUUCUAUAAGACGUCAUAAAAUUCAGGGAAUUUGUAGAUACAUGUUCAACAACUUCAAAUUGCUAAGAGUCCUAAGCUAUGAGAUAAUAACAAGAAGAACACGUGAUCUUUUUGGAGGGUGGAAGUUACCCAGUGGUAUAGGUAAUCUCGUCCAUUUAAGAUUCUUGAGUCUAAGGAAUUUUGAGUUCCAACGGUCAAAGUUGCCAUCAUCUCUAGGCAACUUAAGGUGCUUGCAAACCUUGGAUUUAAGAGUUGAUGACAGAAUUCAUGUACCUAAUGUGAUAUGGAGGAUGGAGCAACUAAGACAUUUAUAUCUCCCUUUGAGAUGUAAAAGCAGAACUAAGUUGAAGUUGGGUACUUUGAGAAAACUCCUAACACUUGUGAACUUCAAGACCAAGAAUUGUUAUCUGAAGGAUCUUAUCAACAUGACAAAUCUUAGAGAGUUGGGGAUAAAUUUUCCCUUCAAUAUUGAAAAUUUCAAUGAGAAGGAGUUGGGCGAGAAUCCACCCAUAAUCGGAAGUAAAUAUCUUCAUUCCUUGUCUAUAUUUACCUAUGAAGGACUGAAUAUAUUUACCUUUUUUUCUAUUGAUGUCAUUAAAAGAUCCUGCUCAAAAAUAGAUCCAAGACAUUUGGCCCACCUCCUUUCAAAUUGUACAAGUAUUUGCAAGUUGAGUAUAACAAAAGUGAUAAGUGAGUUACCAGAGUAUCACUACUUCUCUUCCCAUCUCACUUACAUACGGUUAAUAUGCUGUGUGUUUGAGGAAUAUCCAAUGCCAACACUAGAGAAGCUGCCUAACUUAAGGAUUCUUCAAUUCGAAAGAUCUUUCGGAGGAAAGGAAAUGUUUUGCUCUGCUCAGGGUUUUCCUAAACUCGAGUCUCUAAUCCUUGCGGAGCUCUACAAAUUGGAGGAGUGGAAGUUGGAUGAAGGAGCCAUGCCUUCUCUUCAGCGAUUGGAGAUCACGCGUUGCCUAAGAUUGAAGAUGCUUCCAGAGGGAUUGAGGUUCAUUACAACCCUCAAAGAACUGAAGAUUGAAUCAAUGCCAAAGGCAUUCAAAGAUAGAUUGGAGAAAGGAGGAGAAGAUUUCUACAAAGUCGAACAUGUUCCUUCUAUCAUAUUCCAAAACAUCUUGCGCUAAGAAAUUGAAUGAUAAUUGAGAGGUAAUUUCAUAACCUCUAGUUUAGGAAAUGAUUCCUACUUUCUUUGCUGCUUAUAUAUCUUUCGUUUUUGACAAUGUCUCACCUUCUCACUCCAUUUGUCAACACACCAAUGAAUAAUUACAUUUAUUAAAAGUCAAAGGAAGUCAGACAUUGAUCUUUUUAGUUUUGCUUUUCAGGUAAAGACGCCAUUUUUUCACCUGCUACUGCUAUUCACGGGAUCAAAUCUACAUUUAAAACUCCUAUUAUAGGUGGCGUGUGAAAGUGUGUUAUAUGGUGAGAUUUGGAAUUAUCUUCUCUCUUGUAUAUAUCAAUGGUUGUUGACAUCAGACUUGUUGACUGUUUGUUGUUUUCUUCAAAUUACAAUAAAACGGUUGCAAGAUAUGGUAUUGGAAGAAUGGGAGGUGUCUGCAUCAGCAAGGUACGAAACCCCUCCUCCAUUUCAAUUUCCUUCAAUCUAAUUUAAUUACACAUUCAUUUUUGUCUUUUAAAACAUAAAAUUGCAGAUAAGGAGACGUCACUGACCUUUGUUCCCACAUAGCUUUGUUUUGCGGUGACCAUUCCUAUAUUUAUUUGUUAGCUUUGCUUUCUCUGCUUUCUCUUUUUUCUUUUUUCAUUUUUUAUAUGUACUUAAUGUAAUAUUAGAAGCCAAGGCAGGACCAGCGCUUUUCUAUUGUAAAAUUCAUCACUUCGUUGUCUAUGUUCAUUUCUACUCUUCAGUUUACUUAAAUAUAAUUGUUUGAUAUAUAUUUGAAUAUGGAGAAUAUAAUCUUUUUAAUAUAUACAUAUUUUAGAAAAAUUGAACAUAUUUCUUUAUUUUAUGCAAGUCGAUUGGUAUUCAACAGAAUCUUUUCCGUCAUCCUUAACUCAAUAAUCUUUGUUACGAUAUUAUAUUAGGUUUAAUGGUUGCACUUCAUCCCCACACUUCUAAAGCAAAAAAUAGGAAAAAUUAAAUCUUACCAACUAAUAACACUUCCAAAUUACAUUGUCUUACAAAAAAUAAAAAAGAAAAAGAAAAAAAAAAGGAAGAAGAUAUAAUUUGAAUUUUUUCAUCAAAUGGUUUAGCAAGCUAUGCUUUAUAAAAGGCAAAGGAAUCCAAGGGAAUCAAAGAUUCCAAAAUCGAUAUUUAGAUUCAAGAUUUUGUAUCCUCAUGCUUUGCUACUUAUAUCUACCAACAAUAUCUAGAUGAUAAUAAACUAAAAUAUAUAUAUAUAUUCAAGGGAACCGAAGAUUUCAAAUCCAACUUAAUCGAUUGAAAAUUUCACAUCCACUUAAUUAACUCAAAUGAUAUUUAUUCAAUAAGUUCAAAUUAAAAACUGCAAGAAUCUUCAUUUAUCUUUUAUUCGAAAUGUAAUUGGGAUUCAAUGAAAAUAUUGAACAUAUAAUGUGUGCACAUGGAAAUGUCCAAAUCUUUAAAUAUAGGGUCGACAUGGUAGAAAUCUCUUAAUACCCAACGUUAAAUAUUUAUAAAAUUCAGUAUCUUAUUCGGAUUAGGAUACGAGCGAAUAACAGCUAACUAUUUGUAGUUCAAGGUGUGAUAAAAUCUCAGUAGCUAAGAUAUGAAUGUUGCAAACUACCAUACAAAAUCACAGCCACAUUUGUUAGUAUGACUAUUUUGGGUAAUCAAGGGAAAAAAAUGUUAGCUGUUGAGCAAACAAGGUGAACAAAUUAGAUAUUCCAAUUACGUUCAAGCACUUGACAAAUCCUUUCUGCAAUGGCUUCAGCACGCAUCCUAGGAUCUUCAUCAUCUGCAAAAACCGACCAUUUCUAACAACUAAGCUAACAUCACACAUGAUAAUAUAUGUAUAUAACAUAUGUAGAAGAUGAUUACGUGGAUUAAAAGCUAUGUUAGUUUGACUCAAUACAUGACCAUGGGACAUGCACGAUUCUUCAAUAAUGAUAUGAAAAUACUUGGAAGAAAAAUUAAAUACAUCAAUAUCUAUCAUUUACAUCUAAGUUCGAGUAAAGUAAAACAUGUCAUUCUAUCUAAACAUGCAAAAUAUCCAAAACUCUUGAUGAAUGUUAGAUACAAAUAUGUAGAAUGUACCCAAAAUACCCAUCUCAAACUCAGUAGAGAAAUAUCUAGCACUCAAAAGGCACUAGCUUCAACCAAGAACAAGGAAGUUUCUUCAAAGGCUUGAUAUACUUUCUUCACAGCCAUAUAUAUAUAUACCCAUAUUAAGGAAGAUUGUUUUGGCAAAGAGGAUGAGAAGAUAGAAAGAAAACCUUUAAUCCAAUGACAAUAUUUGAUUAUAACAACAUGACACAUAUAAUUGUGAUUAAAAUUGCAGUCACAAACAUGUUUGCAAUCACAUCAUGUUAACGAAUACUAUCGCAAUCAAUUGCAAUAAAUAUCCACAACAACAAGAGCCAGAAUCCUAAAACAACAAAGAUAAUACAUUACAGCUGUUAAGGAAUUUUCAAUAACGUAUAUACCUGCAAGAUUUUCAGUGAUGACACAACAAAGUUCACCACCAGACAACUUCCCGAUCUAAUGAAAUUUUCAAACAUAUCAUGUCAUAAGUUUCAAGAUCAACUGAAACAUGCGGAUACCAAGUAUGAUAAGAAAUUAAAUUAAGGAUUUCCUACUGCAAACCUACCACGAAAAUAUAAUUUUUAUUAGGAUCAAAGGCAUAGCCCAUCAUGGCAGCAUUAUUGAGUCCAUUUUCAGAGGAAAAUCCUGAAACAUGUUACAGGCAAAUAUUAAUAAAAACAAUGCACCAAUACUUGAAAGGAUUAAAAUCACUGCUAACCUAAAACAUUGAAUCUAGCACCACUAGGAAACAUCCGAAAUGAUACUUGUCUUUCAAUGUUGAGAUACAUAGGUCCAAGUCUGCCAUGUUGCGCCAAAUGGGAAUUCAUCAACCUCUUGAGAACCUAAAGGAUGAAAAGUUCCAGUCCAAGUUAUAUAUACAGACACACACACAGAUAGACAUGAAGAAAGUGGGUUAAUGGAGUAUUAUUUAAGUAAAGAAAAAGUUGAAAUCUUGAACCUCUAAAUAUUGGGUAACAGCUAGCGUUAAAAGUGCAUAAAGUUCUGCUAUUAUCUACAAGAAGCAAUGGAGGAAUCACAUACAUUGUUUAUAUUCACUUUUCUUGCUACACAAGCAAGCAGAGUCCAUAAACAAAGGCAUACCUUUUUCUCCGUUUUUAAAUGGUUUUCUUGUUUUUUGGCUGCUUUUUAUAUUAAGAGAGAGAGAUUGUGAGACCUCGUCAUCCUCAAGGAGUAAGUGGUCCACCAUGAAGAUGAUGGGAAGACCACGAGUCGAUGGUGGUCGAUCCAUGAGUUGAUUAUGAGUAGUUUCAUGUUAUGAAAUAAAAAUGUUAGCUAAAGUUAGUUGAACGUUGUGUUUUAGGGCUGAGGGUUUAAUGAAACUAAGUUUGAUGUUGAAUGAAACCGGUGCAUAUUGACAGUUUGUUACAACUGCUCAAGGAACAGCCCUAUAACAGACUUUGUAACUGCCAAUUCUUAGCCAUAAUAGAAACUGGCAUGGGAAAUGAGCAGAUAUGCCAUUUUGUGAAGGAAAUCAAUUCUUUCUUCUUCCUCGAUUCUCUUUCUCUUCUCUCUUUUUCUUUCUUCCUCUAUUCUGUUGAAAUUAUGCAUCACUUCACCAGCAUUCAUCAUUGUGGACGUAUCUGAUCUUCAGUCUCUGGUUUACUGCCCAUUUAAAGUUGUGGAAAGAAAUGCAAAUUUAAAAGGUUUUCUUGCUAUAGUCUAUGCAAUUUCAUGUGUGCGUGAAAGGAGAUGAAGAUUAAUAGAGUAAUACUGAUAUACCAACAAUUCAUUAAUUGAAGUACUAUCAAUAUUAUCAACAAGUAACAGAACUGAGUAUACUAAUAUAGUCUAGAAAAAAACAAUUUAAUUAAUAAUACCAUAGGGAUGGCAAGAGGGUGAAGUUGCUAUUGCUAUUUAUAUCUCUGCUGCUAGCUUUUGACGACUUCACCAAGUAAACUGCAAUCACAAGUGUUGUUCUUAUUACCUGCAAAAACACAGCCAACAAUCUGAAUCCAUAUCCCCAUUUUAGGAACAAAUGCAUGGUGUACCAUUUGUUUCGAAGCCAAAUCAAUUUUCUUAAUUUUUCUUGAAUUAAAACCGUAUCUGACACUUAUAUUCAACACAUAUUCAUGUACUGGUGUGAAGAUAUGACAUUCUUAUCCUAUACUCAUAUCCGUGCUCAAGUAACAUAAGCUGAACCCGCAAGAUAACUGAUUUAACAUCAUUGCUGCUAGCUAUUGAUGAUUUCACCAAGUAAACUGCAAUCACAAGUGUUGUUCUUAUUCCUUGCAAAAACACAGUCAACAAUCUGAAUCCACAUUCCCAUUUUCGGAACAAAACCAUGGCGUACCAUUUGUUUCAAAGCCCAAUCAACUUCCUUUACCAUCUUCCCCUUACAAAAACCGUGAAUCAACUUCUUGUAUGAAUCAAAACUAGGAUUAACCCUCUCGAAAACCAUUUUCCCCAUAAUCUCCUUUGCUUCCAUAAACCUCGCAGCAUCAAGCAAACCAUACAACACCUCUUGAUAAGACCCUGCAUUGGGAUAACACCCUUUCUUUUUCAUAAUUUCCAACAGCUUCACACCUUCAUCAAUCCUACCUUGUUUCCUAAGACCUGAAAUCAAUAUAUUAAAGCUAACAGCAUCAGCAUCGAUUCCUUCCGUUUCCAUCCUCCCCAUCAACUCAAAAGCUUCAUCAACCUUUCCCUUAUCGCACAACCCGUGCAUUAAAGUAGAAUAAGUUCUAACAUUCGGCUUACACCUUUGUUUAGGAAAUUCAUCGAGCAGUUGGAAUGCAAACUCUAAUUUCCCAUUUUCACACAACCCUUUAAUGAGAAUAUUCAGAGUACAAGCUUCGAUUUCAACACCCAAAUUGGGAGCUUUCCCAUAAACCUCGUGAACAACAUCAAAUAGUUUGUUCGAUACGAGUAAGCUCAAUACGAUAUUGAAGGUUUUAACACUAGGCGAAGUCCCAUACUCUGGCAUGCUAAAAAGGAUCUCGAUUGCCCUUUUGAUUCGACCUCCGACAUGCCCAUACUUUUUAAUCACAUUCUGGAAGAACUCAUCGGAUAAACGACAGGCUUUUUCACGUUUGAGUUUUUCCAUUAUAUUUUCAAUGGAAUCAAAAUCCUGGGCAUAUGCGAGCUUGUUGAUGAGCAAAGUGAAGAGAGGUUCAGUUGGUUUAUAAUCCUUGCGAGCUGAGUAUUGGGCUAGGACUGAAAUGAGAGAGUUUGGAUCUUUAAGGUUGUCAAAGAUUUUGAGGAUUUCGGUCGGGGAGAGCCAGUCUUUGUGGGUUAGUUUGAAAAGAGGAGGGGAAGUGGUGUGGGUUGGUUGAUGGUAGCUGGAAAAUGAGGAGAAAACCGAAAGGGGUUUAAGAGAUGAGAUUUUAGUUGUGAUUGGAUGGUGAAAAAGUGAGGGAAAAUUUUGGGGGUAAGAGCUUUUGACGAAAGAAAGAAGGGAACGUGAAAUCAUGCGUUUGGCCAUUGGAGAAAGUAGAAACUGGAGAGCUAGAAGCUUUCUGCCAUUCGCACUAUAAACGUAUAUAGGGUAAGGGAAAGGCUUAAUACUUGUUUUGACCCCUGUAAUAUAGUAAAAAUCUCAUUUUGACCCUUUUCCUUCACUUUGUCUGUUUACUUUCAUUUCGUCCAUCAUGUUAGUCUAUUGAUCAUUUCCGUAAAUCCCAUGUGUUAGGGUUCCUAUAUUAUAGUAUUCAUCCAUAUACUUUAACCCUCCACGUAGUCGCAAUCAAUUGGCUUAAAUGAUCGAGGAUCACUAUAGUAUAAGGACCAAAGUGAGAAUUUUAUUAUUAAUUAAGUGACGAACACGUAAACAUGCACUAAUUUUUUUAUACAGAAAUGGUCAAAGGAUUAAAGUGAAAGAUGAAAUGAAAGUAAAGGGCGCAAAGUGAUUGGAAAAGUAGUAAAAGGUUGGAAAAUAUUAAGAGAUUGUAUGAUGCAAAACUUAAAUAAUUUAUCUACUGAAAUUUUGAGGUGUAUUAUUUCGAAGUAAUGAAUCAUUGUUAUUUACAACUAUAUAUUAUAUCUCUUUGAAAUGUACAAAUAAAUUAAUGGGCAGAAUGUUUAUGAAUGUCACAACUUUAUUUUUGCUUCUUCUUCCCUUCAAGAUUUGGUUGGAUUUGGAGAUGCCUAUUGAAAGCCUGGUUGAAAAGGAAUCGAGUUUUGGAAUGCUGAAAUGAUCGGAAGCCAUCCCAAUAUAGCAAUCGGAGAGAAAAGGGUCGAUCCCAUUCCGUAAUCAUAUGCCUUAGCUAGUACCUCAGUGACCUGCCAGAGUCCAGUGUUCUCAAUAAUUGGCCUCACAGCUUGAGCAACCUGAAGGGAACUAAAAUGUCAGAGGGAAUAAGGCAAAAGUUGCAAACUCUAGAGAAAAACUAUUUGCCGAUCCUCUAAAUAUAUGAACAAAUUUAGAAAAAAAACUUGGGCAUGCCCGUAUUUGAUACUUAUUCUUGAAGUCGAGUAACAUAGUCAACUAGACAUACCAAAAUCAGACCCCAUAUCCAGUCGGCAAAAAUGCAAGACAGCAGACAAGUAAAUCCUUGGACGACAGUUCACAGAUGACUGAGAGAGUGAUAACAAUGGCCAAAAUCCUUUACAAUUGCUUGAUUCCUCAGUCAUAUUGCCCUGGAAUCUUCGGAAGUCAAGACGAGUCUAGCUCAUCAUCUUUGCCAUUCAUCUUGAAACUCCAAGCCAAUAUGUCGUGCGUGAACCGAGGUUAUAUAAACAAUGCAAAUAAAAUAUAUGAAAUUACGGUGUACAGUAAGAAUAGAAAUUAAAUUGUAAUAUAAUUUUAAAUUUAUAAUGAAAUACAGAAAAUAUUUCAAAAAUCGUACUCAAAUAAAUUAUGAACUAAAAUUGAAUUAAACAUUAACAAAGAAUAUACAAAACUAAGUCUAAAUAGCUACUUCCUUACUUCUGAUAGUAUGAUUAAACAUAAAUUGAAAGUAUAAAGUUAGUAGACAAAUCAAUCAGAAAUGACAAACAAUAGUUCAUUAAUAUCAAUGAUUGUAAUUAAUCUAGACUUAUUCUACCAAUUAAUCAAUUUAGUCCACUUAUCUUUCGACCUGAUGGAUCUAAAUGGGACAACUGAAUCAGUUCUGGCUAAAAUCUCCUUUCAAUCUCAUUUACCCAAAUUUCCAUCUAGAGUUAUCAAUUUGAUCCAAUUAAUCAAUUCAAAACCUUAAAUUAAAUUAACUAUUCCCACUUCAAUUAAGCAACUUUCUUAAAAAUUUAGUUAAAACCCAUUCUAAUGAUAUCAGAUCCACUUAAUUCGUAAACCAUCAAUAAAGUUAAUGAUAAGAAAGAAUAGAGUUGAGAGAUGCUCAAUAAUCCGAAAAUUUCUGAUUGUGGAGAUCCUCUUUGAGUAGCAACUGAAAUCCUCGUAACGAAAGCAUGAAAUGAAAAAUAAAUAUAUUUUUAUUAAAAUGAGUAUAAAGUGAGUGAAAAGAAAAAGAAAGGAAAACGGAUAAGGCUCUGAUUAAACUUACCUUAAACAAGUAAAUAUAUUUUGUUCAAAUUUAUAAUUUAUUAUAUUUAUCUGUAAUCCUCACUAUAAAAAAGCCUUCCAAAUAUGCUUCCUCACCUUAUCAUUUUUGCUUUUUUUCAAGUGCCCUUAUAAUUUUUGUUAAUCUUUCUUUUCCCUUAAUUAAAGCUUGAUGGCUUAUAUUAUAUAUAUAUAUAUCCAUUUAAAAAAAAGUGUCACUAAACUAUUGCUUUUGUUCUGUUUUGGUCAUUAAAUUAUUAAUUUUUUUGAUUUAGUUACUAAAGUUUUUGAAAUAAAUUAUUUUGAUCACUUUCUCGUUAAUUGUCAUUAGAUAAGUGAGGAAAAGCUGACAGAGGUUUGUUUUAUUGUUCAAAUUAAUCCUUAUAUAUUAAAUAAAAAUUUAAUUUAAUCCUUAAAUUAAACUAAAAAUUCAAAUAAACUCAGAAUAUCGCAACUUUUUCAUUAUAUAUAUAUUUCUUUUUCCAAAUAAUAAAUUUAAAUUUAUUAUGAUUAUCACAACUUUUGUUUCAAUAUAACUACUAUCAUCUAUUUUCACUUUUUAAAUUGAUUAUAAAUAUUAUUUAAAUGUUAAUUUAGUAAUAUGAUAAAAAAAUAAAUGAUAUUUUUAUGGGUUCAAUUUUUUUAAAACUUAUACUUUUAUAGAUAUUAUAGAUAGAUUAUAGAUUAUAGGAAUAGGGUCUAAUGGCCAAAAAGAAAAAUUAUGUACUGUCUAUGUGAACUUGUGAAGGCAUUAUACAAUGGAUCAUCAAAGUGUAAAGAUGAGUAUUAGAUAAAUUGAAAGUGAGUUGAUAAAGUCGUCCACUCAUUUUACUUUUAAAUAAAAAAAAUUUAAACAAAAAACAUUACUUUUGUUCUACGUACCUUUAUGUUUGUAUUCUCAUUCUAUUAAUUAAGAACUGCUUCUUGCAAUUGUUUUCCCAGCAAGAUUUCUGAGCUCACUCACUAUUAUGGCUUGGUCUGCUGUGACAUCUGCAGUGACAACAAUUGGCAACCUGCUAACUCAGGAAGCCAUAUACUUAUGGGGUGUGGAGGAGGAAGUUGAUCGUCUGCAAACAGAGCUCAAAUGGAUGCAAAGCUCCUUAAUGGAGGCAGAGACAAAACAAUCAAAGGAUGAGAGGAUUCGUCUUUGGGUUGCUGAAAUCAGAGAGCUUGCUUAUGAUGCUGAGGAUGUUGUCGAGGAAUUUGCUCUCAAGAUUGGAUCCAAAAACAAAGGAGGUCUUCCGAGUCGUAUUAAAAGAUCAGCCUGCUGUUUGAAAGAGGGAUGGAUGCUCCACAAAACCAGGUCAAAAAUCGAGAAAAUCAUAGAAAGAAUCAAUGACUUGGUCCGACGACUACAGACCUACGGAGUAAAGGAAUUAAAGGACAGAGGAGAAGAAUCAAGUUCUUCAACUGAAAGACGAGAAUCAAGGCCGCCUUAUCCACAUAUUAUGGAUGAUAAUAUUGUUGGACUAGUUGAUGAUACUGAGGGACUGGUCAAAGUUCUUAAGAACGAAAGUGGAUGCAAGGUUGUUACAAUAUGGGGCAUGGGUGGUCUGGGAAAGACCACUCUCGCCAAGAAUAUAUAUCACCAUCAUCAGGUUAUUGAUUAUUUCGACCACUUGGCUUUUGUAUAUGUUUCUCAACCAUGCCGGAAAAGAAAUGUUUGGGAAGACAUUCUAUCUGGUUUCAAAACUUUAGAUGACGCGGAUAGGAAGAAAAGAGAUGAAGACUUAGCAGAGAAGUUGUGUAACAAGUUGGAGGAGAAAAAGUGUCUAGUGAUACUUGAUGAUAUUUGGACCAGUGAAGCUUGGGAUAGUCUAAAACCUGCCUUUCCAGUUGCAACGGGCCGUGAUAGCAAUAGCAAGAUAUUGCUCACCUCUAGAAACAGGGGGAUAGUUCCAUAUGCUGACAUAAGAGGUAAAAUUUUCUUUAUUAGGUAAAAUUGAAUACUCUUAUUCCUUUUAUGGAAAAUAACUAUGUAUAUUAUUUCAGAGUUGAAGUGCCUAAACGAUCAACAAUGUUGGGAAUUGUUUCAAAAGAUUGUAUUUCCUCAAACAGGUAAAUAUAGAUAUAGCAAAAUUCUUGUUAUAUGCUAAAUUUAUUUUUCAUUUUUAAAUUUUUUUGACAAUAAUUAAAAUUAAAAAUAUAUAAAAUCUAUUUUAUUUAAAAAUUUCAAAACCUUAAUGUGAAAUAAAUAAAAGAAAUCAAGGCUUUGUAGUUUAUCAAUUAAUGGUACACGCACAUAAAUAUAAUUAAUAGGUAAAUUUAUUAUAUUUAUAUUAUAAUUUUUUAAUAACUUCGCUAUUAUUUACCGGGAAUAAAUUAUAUUAGGAUUAUCUUGAAAAAAAUAUAGUUUUUAGGCACUAAUAAAAUAGUGUCACAUCGUUAAAUUUUUAAGAUAACAAAAAAUUGUUAUACACUCAUUUAUAUUUAAUAUUUUCUCCAACUUAAUUUAAUUUUAAUUAAAUUAUUUAAAAUAAUUAAUUUUUUAAAUUAUAAACAAACAUCUUCUCUUCUUUUACAAAUUUUAAUCAUUUUGUUUUUUUUCAUAAGUUAAUAUUUUUUAUUUUUGUACAACUUAAUAUUUUUUAUUUUUGUACAUCCAAUUUAAAAAAAAUAGUAAUUUUUGUGCAAUAAUUUUCAUGUCAUUGACACAUAAUUUUGAUAAUUAUUUUAUCAUGAACCCAAAAUCUAGAACCUUGAACUCGAACCCUGAACCUAAACCUUGAAUCCCGAAUCUCGCAGUUCAAGGUUUGGAUUUGAGAUUUAAAGUUCAGAAUUUGAGGUUCAAGUUUAAAGUUUAAGGGUUCAGGGUUCAAGUUCUAGUUUAGGAAAUGAUUCCUACUUUCUUUGCUGCUUAUAUAUCUUUCGUUUUUGACAAUGUCUCACCUUCUCACUCCAUUUGUCAACACACCAAUGAAUAAUUACAUUUAUUAAAAGUCAAAGGAAGUCAGACAUUGAUCUUUUUAGUUUUACUUUUCAGGUAAAGACGCCAUUUUUUCACCAGCUACUGCUAUUCACGGGAUCAAAUCUAGAUUUAAAACUCCUAUUAUAAGUGGCGUGUGAAAGUGUGUUAUAUGGUGAGAUUUGGAAUUAUCUUCUCUCUUGUAUAUAUCUAUGGAUGUUGAUUGUUUGUUGUUUUCUUCAAAUUACAAUAAAACGGUUGCAAGAUAUGGCAUUGGAAGAAUGGGAGGUGUCUGGAUCAGCAAGGUAUGAAACCCCUUCUCCAUUUCAAUUUCCUUCAAUCUAAUUUAAUUACACAUUCAUUUUUGUCUUUUAAAACAUAAAAUUGCAGAUAAGGAGACGUCACUAACCUUUGUUCCCACAUAGCUUUGGUUUGCGGUCACCGUUCCUAUAUUUAUUUGUUAGCUUUGCUUUCUCUUUGUUUUUUUUUCCCUACUUAAGUCUGCUCGAGUCUUUUUCUUCUUUUAUAUGUACUUAAUGUAAUAGUAGAAGCCAAGGCAGGAUCAUUCUUUUCUAUUGUAAAAUUCAUCACUUCGUUGUCUAUGUUCAUUUCUACUCUUCAGUUUACUUAAAUAUAAUUGUUUGAUAUAUAUUUGAAUAUGGAGAAUAUAAUCUUUUUAAUAUAUACAUAUUUUAGAAAAAAUUGAAUAUAAGUAUGUUGGGCACAUUUUCCGUUUCAACAUAUUUCCUUAUUUUAUGCAAGUUGAUUGGUAUUCAACAUAAUCUUUUCCGUCAUCCUUAAUAAUCUUUGUUACGAUAUCAUAUCAAGUUUAAUGGUUGCAUUUCAUCCUCACACUUCCAAAGCAAAAAGUAGGAAAAAUUAAAUCUUACCAAGUAAUAACACUUCCCAAUUACAUUGUCUUACCAAAAAAAAAAAAAGAAAGAAGAUACAAUUUGAAUAUUUUUUUAUCAACAUUUGGAGAAGUUCAGUGGUCGAAAGCUUUUCCGAGAGACAUGGUUCGUUAAGGUGCACCAUCCCCCCAAACCUUUCCUCAGUAAUCCUAGGAAAACAUCGUUACAUUGUCCCCAAAAUCGAUUUUUGGAUUCAAGUUUUUGUAUCCCCUUGCUUUGCCUUAUAUCUACCAACAAUAUCUUGAUGAUAAUCAACUUAAAAAAAAUUCAAGGGAAUCGAAGAUUCCAAAUUCAACUUAAUCGAUUGAAAAUUUCACAUCCACUUAAUUAAUUCAAAUGAUAUUUAUUCAAUAAGUUUAAAUUAAAAACUGCAAGAAUCUUCAUUUAUCUUUUAUUCGAAAUGUAAUUCGGAUUCAAUGAAAAUAUUGAACAUAUAAUGAGUGCACAUGGAAAUGUCCAAAUCUUUAAAUAUUGGGUCAACAUGGGAGAAAUCUCCUAAUACCCAACGUUAAAGAUUUAUAAAAUUCAUCAAUAUGAUCCUAUUAUUUUCGUUAUAAAACUCAAUAUCUUAUUCGGAUUAGGAUACGAGCGAAUAACAGCUAACUAUUUGUAGUUCAAGGUGUGAUAAAAUCUCAGUAGCUAAGAUAUGAAUGUUGCAAAAUACCAUACAAAAUCAUAGCCACAUUUGUUACUAUAACUAUUUUGGGUAAUCAAAGGAAAAAAAAUGUUAGUUGUUGAGCAAACAAGGUGAAUAGAUUAGAUAUUCCAAUUACGUUCAAGCACUUGACAAAUCCUUUCUGCAAUGGCUUCAGCACGCAUCCUAGGACCUUCAUCAUCUGCAAAAACCGACCAUUUCUAACAACUAAGCUAACAUCACACAUGAUAAUAUAUGUAUAUAACAUAUAUAGAAGAUGAUUAUGUGGAUUAAAAGCUAUGUUAGUUUGACUCAAUACAUGACCAUGGGACAUGCACGAUUCUUCAAUAACGAUAUGAAAAUACUUGGAAGAAAAAUUAAAUACAUCAAUAUCUAACAUUUACAUCUAAGUAUGUUUAAUGGUCCUCUUUCUUUAGCCAAAAUUUGGCUUCUUUUAGUAGCUAUUCUGACCCAUUUUUCUUGACCAAAAUGCCCUUGAACGUGUCUUUUUAUUCUUUUUAUUGGUGUUUUAGUUGGACAAGGACUACCCUUGAUGUCAUUUUUGGUCUCCUCAUGACAAUAUUGCAAUAUCCAACAUAGGGUAUCGCGAUAUCGUGCACUGUCUCAAAUGGGGGUCUUCCUUGGUAGAUGGGUAUCAUGAUACCUAAGGGGGAUAUCAUGAUACCACUAUAGGUGGUCUUCAUUUCAAUCCUGUGGGAGGUAUCGCUAUGUCCAUGUUGUGAUGUCCUGAUACCCCUUUCCUUUGUUAUGUUUUUGCACAAUUUCGGGUCACCGUCAAGUUCCUACAACACUAAAUUGAUCGUUAGGGUCCAAAUGGCACAUUUACCAAUUUGAGUCUCAAAAUGAGCACAAAACGCAUUAAACACUUAUUAAAUAAAAAAUCUAAAAAUCUACGGUAAACUACGGAAAAAAACACUAAUUUGCUUGAAAACAAUCUCCUUAAGUAUAAUGAGGAACCCUCAAUUACGGUAGCUCAGUUGUCCUUUUGAUUCGAACCCACAACCUGAGUUGUUGAGGUGAUCACCCAAUGUCACUAGGCCAAGAGUUUGGGUUCUAUGUACUAACUUGAAGUUGAGGCAUAUUGUUAAGAAGAUUUCAAUUUGACAUGUUUAAUUUUCUUAAUUUAACUCGAAUAAAUUUAUUUAACUUGACUUAAAUUUUAUUUCACUCAACUUGAUUUAAAAAAUUUCAAAUCAAGUUAAGAUGAUAAAAUAGGAUUCAUUAACUCGAUUUACUCGAAAUUUUUUUCACUAGAUUCGAUCAAACGCUCAACUCUUUAGGUGAGAUGAUGUUUAGGGAUUUGUUUUGUAAAAUCAUUUUUUUCUCAAUCAUUCCUCAUAAUAUAGAAAAUAAUAAGUUAAGUUAUGCCAUUAGUCCUUGUACUUUACAAAAGUUGUGGAUAUAAUCUCUAUAUUUUAGUUUGGUCAUUUUUAAUAAAUGUACUUUUCAAAUUUGAAAAUUUUAAUCCUCACCGAACGAUAAUUGUUAAAUUCUUCAAGUUAAGCUUUGUUAUUUUCAAAAUAUUACAUGACAAACAAAUUAUUAUAUGUGUAAUGCCAUGUUAGCUUGUUAUUUUCACACAUACUCACCAAAAUUCCACUUAAUGGAUUAACGACUUUCAUUCGUGUGAGGACUGAAAUUUCAAAAUUCAAAAAGUAGAGGGACUUAAAAUGAUCUAAUUGGAGAAUAUAGACUAAAUCUAUAACUAUACUCAUAGUAUAGGACUAGUAAUUGAAUUUAACCAAAUAAAUUUAAUUGCUACAAUUUAGGUUAAAUCUAAAAUUUCAAAAUUAAAAAAAAUAUAGAAAUUGAAGUUGACAAAUUCAAAAAAUAUACAUAUUAAAAUUGAUCAAAUUAAAAGUGCACUGACUAACCUUAAUUUUUUGUUAAUCUUUCUUUUCCCUUAAUUAAAUGUUCAUGACGUAUAUUAUAUAUCUUAAUAUAAAAAUAUAUAUUUUUUAAAAAUUAAAUGUAUGUAUUAUAUACAUUCUUGGAAUGCUCCAUUUAACAAAUUUAUUUCAGCUCCAUAUGAUUAAAACACUUCCCAUUUCUAACAUAUUUCCUCAUUUGGGUAACCCGAUUGGUAUACAAUGUAAUCUUUUUCAUUGUUUAGUAUCCUAAUUCUUAAUUAAUUUAAUAAUAUUUAUUAUGAUAGGGUCUAAUGGCUGCAAUUUAUCUCGACACUUCCAAAGCAGAAAAAAAAUUAAAUUUCACCGAUUAAUUACAUGUCAACACAUAUAAUUCAAGAUAUGUUUAUCUCAAAGAUUAAAUAAGAUAAACUAAAUCACAAAGAAAACAAACGAGUAAACAUAAUCUAGAAAUUCCAAAUUACAUUAUCUAACAAAAAUUCAAUAAGAAAUAAAUUGUUGCAUUUCAUUCUUUAGGGAUGUGUGAGUCAAGAUGUCUGAGUCUUGAAAUGUAAGGUCGAAACAGGAGAAAUAUCCUAAAACUCGAUGCUAAAAGAUUUAUAAAAUUCAGUAUAAUCAUGUUGUUUUCAUUGUAAAACUCAAUGUUAAAAUGUCUAUGAUUCGAAAUUAUGAUACAAGAGAAAAAUAGCUAACUAUUUUAAAUUCAAGGUGUGAGAAAAUCCCAAUCGCUAAGAUAUGAAUGUUGUAAAAUACCACAACAUUUGUUAGUAUGACUACUUUGGAUGAAAAGUUCUAUUCCAAGUUAUAUAUACACAUAGAAAUACACAGGAAGUGGAUUAAUGGUGUAUUAUUUAAGUCAAGAAAAAGGGUUCUAACUAAAAGAAAGAGUUGAAAUCUUGAACCUCUAAAUAUUGGGUAACUGCUGGUGUUAAAAAGUGCAUAAAGGUCCAAGCUUAUCUACAAGAAACAAUGUAUGAAUCACAUACGCGGUUUAUAUUCACUUUUUUUGCUCCACAAGCAAUCCAAAACCAUAAACAAAGGAAUAGUUUUUUUUUGCCUUUUUUAAAUGGUUUUCUUGUUUCUUUUCCGCUUUUUAAAUUAUUCAUUCAAUUCAAGUUCAAAAAACCAUACUAAAUAUAUAUAUAUGUUUAUAUUUACUUUUCUUGCUACACAAGCAAGCCAAAACCAUAAACAAAGGCAUGCUUUUUUUUUUUUCCUUUUUCUAAUGAUUUUCUUGAUUCUUUGUUGUUUUUAAAUCUCUUCAUUCAAUUCAAGUUCAAGAAACCAUACUAAAUAUAUAUUUUUAUAUUCACUUUUUUUUGCUACACAAGCAAGCUGAAACCAUAAACAAAGGCAUACAUUUUUAUCCUUUUUUAAAUGGCUUUCUUGUUUCUUUGUUGUUUUUUAGAUUCUUCGUUCAAUUUAAGUUCAAAAAACUAUAUGUGUUUAUAUUCACUUUUCUUGCUACAUAAGCAAGCCCAAACCAUAAACAAAGGCAUACUUUUUUUUUCCUUUUUUUACCGUUGCUGCUUUUUAGAUUCUUCAUUCAAUUCAAGUUCAAAAAACUAUACUUUCUCUCUCUCUAUAUAUAUAUAUUCACUUUUCUUGCUACACAAGUCAACCAAAACCAUAAACAAAGGCAUAACUUUUUCACUUUUUUUAAAAUGAUUUUUUUGUUGCUACUUUUUUAAAUUUUUAUUCAAUUUAAGUUCAAAAAGCCCUAAUAUAUAUAUAUAUUAAGAGAGAGACCUCAUCAUCCUCAAGGAGUAAGUGGUUAAGCAUGAACUUGAUGGGAAUGCCACAAGUCGGUGGUGGUCAAAUCAUGAGUUGAUUAUGAGUAGUUUCAUGUUAUGGAAAAAAGAUGUUAGUUAAAAUUAGUUACUUGAGCGCUGCAUUUUGAGGUUGAGAGUUUAAUGAAACGAAACGUUUUGAUGUUUAAUGAAAACGGUGCGUAUUGAAAGUUUGAUACAACUAGUUGAGUAACAAGCGUGUAACAAACUUUGUAACUACCAAUUCUGAAGGCUUACAGGAACUGCCAACUUUUAAUUUUAUUUGUAAUCCUCGCUUUAAAAAAAUAUUCCAAAUAUGCUUCCUCACCUUAUCAUUUUUGUUAUUUUUCAAGUGCCCUUACCAUCCUAUAUUUUCAAUGGGUAAAUUGUAAAAAUGGUCACUUAAUUAUUGCUUUCGUUCUAUUUUAAUCACUAAAUUAUUAAUUUUUUAAUUAUUAAAUUUUUCGAAAUUAAAUAUUUUAAUCACUCUCGCAUUAGUUAUUGUUAGAUGAGUGAUAGGAAGUUAAUGUGGGUUGUUUUUAUUGGUCUAAUAACAAAUUUAAUAAUCUAAUGUUUAUACAUUCAAUUAAUUUGAUUUUAAAUAUAAAAUGUUCAACAGAUUUAACCCUAAAUGUUUACAAAAUCUAUUGUUAUAGUUCGAAUCUAGAGCUGAUCAUGGGUCGGGCCGGGCCGGGCCCAAAAAAAUUUUACCCCGCUUGCUAGGCCCGGGCCCUGCCCGGCCUGAAAUAUGGGCAUGAGAUUUUGUCCAGGCCUAGCCUGGGAAAAAAAUAUGAAGCCCAAGCCCGGCCCGGCCCGGCCCUUUUUUUAAUUUUUAAUUUAAAACUUAAAACUUAAAUUAAAACUUAAUUUAAUUAAAACUUAAAUUAAAACAAAAGUUAAAUUUUUAAUUUUUAAUUUUUUAAUAUAAUGUUAGUAAAACAAAAGUUAAAACUUAAAUUAAAACUUUAAACUAAAUGUUAGUAAGAACCGUUUAAAAAUAAUUUUUAAUUUUUAAUUUUUUAAUAUAAUUUAAUAUUUAAUUUAAGCCUUUAUACGUAUGGGCCUUUCCCUUUUACGUGGGUACUGCAGAAAUGGGCUUAAAAUGAAUUUUGAUGCUUAUUUUACCCAAUACACCUAACACUAUAACCAUUAAUAAAAUGUAGUAUAUUAAAAAUAUAUAUAUUUAAUAUAUAUAUUAAAAAAAUUACCCGAGGCCUGGCCUAUUUUUUAAAUGGGCGUCGUUUUUUACCCAAACCCAUAUUUCGGGCUUAUAUUUUUACCCAAACCCUUCCAUUUUUAAGGUGGGCCGUCGAGUCAGGCCGGGCCGCCCAACCCAUGAUCACCUCUAUUCGAAUCCUAAAAAUUUCAAUAAGUUUAUUCCUCAAAAUUUGUAAAUUUAAUUUUAAAUCCAAAAAUUUUAGAAAGGGAAAGAUAUAUUUUAUGGUAUAUAAAAGAAAAUCUAGCUCCAUCCAACAUUUUAAAUUCUUUUCUUUUCUCUUCACAUUUUCAUGGCAACGAAAAAACCAACUCAUGGAUGAAUUAAGCAAAUUAAAUAAAAUCAAAUAAAUCGAACAAGGAAUUUAAUUAAAAAGAAAUUCUUCACAUGCAGCAAGGAGGGACUUCCUCUGGUGGAAUCAAGGGGAUUGAUAGAAACAGCUCAGGCUCGAACAAGAACUUCACUGGGCUUAAGAUCAGGAACAGACACAUCGGAUCAAAGCUGCAACACCUCAGGUCCACCGAACCGAGGCAGCAACACCGCACUGCAACUGUUGACAUAGCACAAUGAUAUGAUAACUCCAUAAAGGGUUUGGGUUUUAAGCUUUGAAGUUCCCUUUAUUCUACUCAAAUUUCCUGAAUUUCAGCUCCUUCCUUUUGUUAAAUGAGGGAAAAGCAAAGGAGAGACGGAAGUGUGUUAAUCCACAUAGUAAAAAGUGAUUAUGUGAUUGUGAGUGGGGGACUAGGGGGCGUGGAGGAAGAAGAAGAUGAACAUUGCAUAAUCAAUUUUUAAUUGCUUAUUACAUUCAUAAUUAAAUAAAUACAAAUUUCUAACCUUAUCUAUUAAAUCAAGUUAGAAUGUUCAACUUGAUUUUUGUUUGUUAUAAGUAUCAUAUAUUAUAAAACUUAAUUAUAUUUUAAUAAUUAUAUAAUAUUGAUUGAGUUAUUAUUUUUAAUUAUAACAUUUGAUACCAGAUUGAGGGCUAAAUUUAGAACUAGAACUAAAUUGACAAAUUUCGGAAAUUUUGAGCUUAAGUUUAUUUUUAUUUUUAAGAAUUUGAACUAAAUUGAGAAAUUUUGUAAAUAUUGAGGAUUAAAUUCUUUAGAAAUUUUAUAUUUAGAAUCAAAUUGACGGAAUGCCUAAACAUUAGGGUCUAAAUUUGUUAUUAGACCAAUAAAAACAAGUUCAUAUCAUUUUCUUGUCACUCAUCUAAUUGCAACUAAUGUGGAAGUGAUCAAAAUAUUUAAUUUCUAAAAAUUUAAUAACUAAAUAAAAAAUUAAUAUUUAAGUGAUCAAAAUAGAAUGAAAUCAAUAAUUUGAUGACCAUUUUUGUACUGUACCCUAUCUUAAUCCAUCUCACAACGAAAUUUCUCCAUCUUUGCCUAAUUUCUCUAUUUUUCAAAUUUUAAUAGAAUUAACAUAUUUAUUUAAAAAAUAUAUUUAAUCGUUUAAUAUAUUUUUAAUAAGUAAAUGUUAGUUCCGUUAAGGUUCAAUUUAUUUACAUGUAAAAAGUUAAAAAUAAAAAUAUUGAGUUAUAUAUAAAUAACAAAUGAAAUAUUAUAUAUAAUUUAUAUAUACAAAAUUCUUUUAAUUAAAGAUGAAAUUAUAUAUAUAAAUAACAAAUGAAAUUAUAUACAAAUUUAUAAGUGAAAAAUAUACAUAAUUAUAUUCAUAAAAAAUACAAACAAGGUUAUAAAGUAAUUCAUAGGAAUAUAGCUUUCGUGUUUGUAUUCUCAUUCGAUUAUGAAUAUACCUUUCUUGUUAGUAUUCUCAUUCUAUUUUGAACAUACCUUUCUUGCGUGUAUUCUCAUUCUAUUGAUGAUUAAUGCUGCUUUAUAAUUUUUUAUAAAUUUAAUAGAACUAUUACUACUAAAAGUAUAAAAGGGCAAUGAUUUGCAAUUGUUUUUAUAAUUAAGUACUGCUUCUUGCGGCACUCACAUCUUGAAAUCCAAAUUCAAGAUUUUAAAGAAUUUUCUGAGCUCGAUCACUAUCAUGGCUUUGUCUGCUGUGACAUCUGCAGUGACAACAAUUGGCAACCUGCUAACUGAGGAAGCCAUAUACCUAUGGGGCGUGGAGGAGCAAGUUGAUCGUCUGCAAACAGAGCUCAAAUGGAUGCAAACAAUCAAUGGAUGAGAUGAUUCGUCUUUGGGUUGCUGAAAUCAGAGAGCUUGCUUAUGAUGCCGAGGAUGUUGUCGAGGAAUUUGCUCUCAAGAUUGGAUCCAAAAACAAAGGAGGUCCUGCGAGUUGUAUUAAAAGAUCAGCCUGCUGUUUGAAAGAGGGAUGGGCACUCCACAAAACCAGGUCAAAAAUCGAGAAAAUCAAAGAAAGAAUCAACGACUUGGUCCGAAAACUACAGGCCUACGGAGUAAAGGACAGAGGAGAAGAAUCAAGUUCUUCAACUGAAAGACGAGAAUCGAGGCGGCCUUAUCCACAUAUUAUGGAUGAUAAUAUUGUUGGACUAGCUGAUGAUACCGAGGGAUUGGUCAAAGUUCUUACGGAGGAAAGUGGAUGCAAGGUUGUUACAAUAUGGGGCAUGGGUGGUCUGGGAAAGACCAGUCUCGCCAAGAAAAUAUAUCACCAUCGUCAGGUUAUUGAUUAUUUCGAUCACUUGGCUUUUGUAUAUGUUUCUCAACCAUGCCAGAAAAGAAAUGUUUGGGAAGACAUUCUAUCUGGUUUCAAAACUUUAGAUAAAGUGGACAGGAAGAUAAGAGAUGAAGCAUUAGCAGAGAAGUUGUAUAACAUUUUGGGGGUUAAAAAGUGUCUGGUGAUACUUGAUGAUAUUUGGACCACUGAAGCUUGGGAUAGUCUAAAACCUGCCUUUCCAGUUGCAACGGGCCGUCAUAGCAAUAGCAAGAUAUUGCUCACCUCUAGAAACAGGGGGAUAGUUUCAGAUGCUGACAUAAGAGGUAAAAUUUUCUUAAUUAGGUAAAAUUGAAUACUCUUAUUCCUUUUAUGGAAAAUAGCUACAUAUAUUAUUUCAGAGUUGAAGUGCCUAAACGAUCAACAAAGUUGGGAAUUGUUUCAAAAGAUUGUAUUUCCUCAAACAGGUAAAUAUAGAUAUAGCAAAAUUCUUGUUAUACGCUAAAUUUAUUUUUCAUUUUUAAAUUUUUUUGACAAUAAUCUUAAAAAAUAUGUUAGGAUCAUCUUAAAAAAUAUAGUUUUUAGGCAUCAAUAAAAUAGUGUCACGUCGUUAAAUUUUUAAUAUAACAAAGAAUUAUUAUACACUCAUUUAUAUUUAAUAUUUUCUCCAACUUAUUUUAACUUUAAUUAAAUUAUUUAAAAUAAUUAAUUUUUUAAAUUAUAAACAAACAUCUUUUCUUCUUUUCCAAAUUUUAAUCAUGUUUUUUUCAUAAGUUAAUAUUUUUAUUUUUGUGCAACCAAUUUUUAAAAAAUAGUAAUUUUUGUGCAAUAUUUUUCAUGUCAUUGACACAUAAUUUUGAUAAUUUUUUUAUCCUGAACCCAAAACCCCGAACCUUGAACUCGAACCCUGAACUUAAACUUUGAACCCCGAAUCUCGCAAUUUAAGGUUUGGAUUCGAUAUUUCAAGUUUAAAAUUCGAGGUUCAAGUUUAAAGUUUAAGUGUUCAGGGUUAUGGGUUACGAGUUUAAGAUUCAUGAUUCAAGGGUUUGAGGUUACGAUUUUAGGGUUUUAUGUUUUGGAUCUAGGGUUUAGGAUUCUAGAUUCAGGGUUCAGGGUAAAAAAAGUACCAAAAUUAUGUGUCAAUGACAUGGAAAAAAUUGUUGAAAUGUCAUUAAAUAAAUGGAAAGGGACCAUGAAUAAUGUGGUCAGAAGAGUCCAUAAAAUAAUUUCUCUAUGGAUGAGUGUAUAAUAAUUCAUGUCUUUAAAAUUUGAUGAUUUGACAAAAAAAUUUUAAUUUUUAGGAUCAUCCUAAUGUAAGUUAUUACCUUAUCUUAAUUAUUGGACUAUAUGCUUGUUUAGUUUCUUAAGCACUUUCGUGGUAUUCUUUUAUAUGUUUAUCCUGGAUCCUUGCAUCAGAAAGAUGGAGGCGCAGGUAAACCAUUCUUAUCAAGAGUAAAGCCCAAGAAAGAUGUAGUUGAUUCGAACAACCAGCACAUCUCUUUACGACCCUAUUUAGCAAACCAAUCCGCUAACCUAUUGGCUUCUUCUCUGAUAACAUUGACUUUCAAAGAAGAAAGGUGCAUGACCAGCUUAUCAAAAACCUGAAGGACUAUCCUUAAUCUCCAUCUUCGAUCUUGACUCUUAUUCUUAAUAUUCGAAGCAAUAGUCUGGGAGGCAGUCUUGAUUGUCACAUUGGUCCAUUUGUUCUUCAUAGCUAAUCCAAUCCAUCCAACCAUAGCUUUAGCCUCGACAACCUCACAUGAAUCACAUGAAUUAUAUAUUUAUUUGAAUCUCCUCUUAAAUUAAUUAGAGUGAAGUUUCUUAUUUAGUAUUCACUGUUCAAUAAAGUAUUCAAAGUUUUCAAAGUUUUCAAAUAGAUUUAUUUUUUUUAAGUGUAGUUAAUAACAGUAAUAAAAACUAAAUUUUAUAAGUGAUGAAUUUAUAUUAAAUAUUACUUAAUAAAUUAAUAAAAUUUAAGUUUGAGUUCAUCUAUUUUUACAUUUCUUUAACCUACUUAAAUUAAUUCUUAAUUUUUCUUAUAUUUUUAAAAUUUAUUCCUAAUUUUUUAUACAGGAAAUAAAAUCGGAGAGGAAUUAAAAGAGUUGGGAGAGAACAUGUGAUACGAGUCACAAAAGCCCAAAUUCUUGAAGGCAAGGCCCAAUAAGAAAAUUCCCAGCCCAAUCAAGAAAUCCAUCCAUACUUAGUUGAAAAUCAGGCCAAAUUGUCAAAGUGGCCCAAGUUGUAAAAUUUUAUUUUUAUUUUUAUUUAUUUAUUUAUUUAUUUAUUUAUUUACUUAGUUUAAAUUUUUAUGUCAAUAUUCAGUCCAAGAGUCCCAGAUAAAAUGACCUUUGACCGAAUUUCCAUAUUAAAAUAAUUAGGAGUUUUUUUUAUUUUAGUUUUCUAAUUAGAUUAGGACUAGUUAUAAGGCCUAUUUAAAGGCAUGACUGUCCACCUUGUUAAACACUUAUCAUUAUUAAAAAAAUUUCAGAUUUGUUGAGAGCAGAAUUUUCUUUGAGUUUUCUCCAAGAUUUUUCUCUUGAGUUUUCUUUAGAAGUUGUUUUAACAAUCUUUUUGAUUGUGGGAGCCAUCUUCAACCUCCUUCUUGCCAUUGAUAUUCUUUGGAGGGGAGAUUAGAGCCGUUUGAAGGGAGUUGUGAGAUCUUUCGAUAUUUCAAGGCUUCUUAGGACUUAUCUUUUAAUUUCUUACUGUCAAUUCUUUCUUUAUUUCUACUUGUGCUGAAUCAUUAUCUAAUCUAUUUUCUGUUCUUAUUGUGUUUUCAGCCUUUUUCUAUCUUAAGGAAUCAGCCCAAAAAUCCCAAUUUCUAGGGUUUUUCCAUACUCUUUUUGGGUGAAAUUAGAUUGUCGAAUUUUGGGGAAAACUAUCUUGGUGUUCAAUUGGGCAGAAUCACAAUCUCCUUGAGGGUUUCAAGAACCCUAACACUUAUUUCUAUUCUCAAUUUGAUUCUUUGCUGAUUUGGGGAUUUUAUUUCAGAUCUGAAAAUUCAAAAAUCUAAUCUUUUAAUUUUCUGUUUCGUUUCAGAUCUAAUUGUUUAGGGUUUUCGUAGGAGUUUCUCGUGACUUGGCAACUCGAUCUUGGUCCGCGCGCAACCCCGUAUCAUUUGGUAUCAGAUUUUGGGCGUUUUGGGUAUUCUUGGUUGAUUUCUAAAUUGAUCUCUAUUUUUUAAAUUACAAACAGCAGUUUUACCCAGAAAAAUUUUCGAAAAAAAUUCAUUUGAGUGGGUAAACGUUUUCUGAUUGAUCUAAAAUUUUACAUACAUAUUUUUGGCACUGUUAUUGAAUAUACAAAAAUAUUUCCCGCAAAAAAAUAAGUCGAAAAAGUCAAAAAAUUGAAAAAAGACGAAAUCCAAUAAAAAAUUAAAAAAAUAUUCAGCGGGUUGAAUUUGGUGCCCAAAUUUUCCAGAUCAAAAAUUCAAUAUUUGAAGACAUUCCAGAUUUAAUUUUGUGAUUUUUUGAGAUCGGGAACACCUCGAACGAAGUUGUCAAGUUACUCCGCAGUUUUUCGGGUUUUCUGUUUUCAGCAAUUUUUAUUGAUUCUUAGCUGUAGGUUUUCAUUUGUUUGCUUUUUAUUAUCCUUUUAAAAUAUCUAACACCUUCUUGUUUCUUGUGUUAGUAGGAUUUAAACGUGUGCACAAUCCUUCCUCGGUGCAACACGAAUCACUUGGUGUUUCGUCAGUUUUUGGCAUCCUAGUGCAAAUUAGGAUUCUUGUGUAGUUUGGUUCACACUCUCUAAUUGGUUGAUAUAAACUCUGAUAAAGAACUCACAAGAUUGAAUUCGACCUCAUUGAGAAUUUGAUUUUUCUUUUUGAGUGAUUAAUGGUGAGGUUUGCUAACUUUUAUUUUUGAGUGUUGAGUGUUUAUUUUUUACAGGUUUUGAAGAUGUCUAAAGGUGAUAAUAAUGAUGCACUUAUGAAAGUCCAACAACAGUUAGACGGACAUACUGCUGCAAUCACACAAAUAAAUGCUACACUUCAAGCAUUGAAUACUACUUUGAAUGAGGUACGAGUGAAUCAAAAACAUCAAUAUCGAGAUCCAAUUAAGGAAGAUAGGGAUAACCAGUCCCAUAGGUGCAACCCUCAACGUGUCCCUAGAAUGGAUGAUGAUUGUCAUGAUCAUGGACAAUCAUCUUUGGCAAAACCAAAGAGCGAGCAGCAACGAGAACAUCUCUUUCAUACUCGCUGCCACGUACAAGGUAAGCUUUGUAGAGUUAUUAUUGAUGGUGAAAGUUGCUCGAACGUAGCCAGCACGACGAUGGUGGAAAAGCUUUGCUUAACCACUACCAAGCAUCCACGACCUUAUCAACUACAAGGGCUUAGCAACGAAAGCCAAUUUAAGGUCACUCAACAAGUGCGCAUCGCCUUUUCUAUCGGUAAAUAUCAAGACGAAGUCGUGUGCGACGUAGUACCUAUUCAAGCCUGCCAUUUAUUGCUAGGAGAACCAUGGCAACUGGAUCGAAAAGUCACUCACGAUGGUCGUACCAAUAGGUAUUCUUUCAAGCAUCAAGGAAAGAAACUUACCUUAGUGCCGCUCACUCCGGAACAAGUCCAUGAGGACCAAAUCAAACUGAGAAAUUUUGUUAAAACAAGUGAGGAAAAAGAAAAAAAGAAUGAAAAAGAGAAAAAAGAGAUUGAGAGUGAAAAGGAAUGUGAAACAGAAAAGAAAUUUGAAAAAGAAGUUGAAGAAAGAAGAGAAAAUGAGUUAGAAAAAGAAACAAAAGAAAAAGACGAGGAAAGGCUAGUGAGGAAUGUUUCCACUAACCAAGAUAUGAAUUUUUCUUGUGUUGCUACUUUUUAGGUUCCUGAAAGAUCGAAAGAUAACUUUCAACUUCAAUACCUCUCAAAUGAAAGACGCUUUCAUACGAUCAACUUAGGCAAAGAUGAAAUCACACUACAUGAUCCCGAAGGUAAGCGAGGUAAGGAAAUUUUAGAAACCGAGUCCAGUGCAGAUUUGAAAAUUAUUGAUAAAACUUUUGGUGACUUAGUUCUUAAAAGAUCCCCUCAUUUUGAUCCGAUUAAUUGUUACUCUUCGAUUGUGGUUGAUAAAGUCAUUACGAAAAGAAGCGUGAUUUGUUAUUCUCUUGAUUUACCUUGUGUAAAAUCCUUGAAUUUGUUCAAAUCUGUUUUGGAGAAUAAGGUAACGAAAUUUCCAAAUUUAUUUUCAAUUUAUAUUCGUGCCUUAAACAGUUUAUGUGGUUGUACAUGAAGUUUGAGUUCCAUUUGACAAAGGUUAACUCAACAACGGAGAUUCGACUACACUAUGCCCCCGAUGAGCGAAGGUUUGUUUUAAAUGAAAAAGGUAAAAUCGACCCUUAUUCUUCUGCUUAUCGAGGUAAGAUGCUUGAAACCUUUGAAACACUUUUGUACUCCUCGGAUAGUGAUAAAGAUCGUGUUGAUGAACACUUAGAUCAAAACGUGCUUGACUGUCCUAUUUUAUUUAUUGAUGAUCUAUCUGUUUUGAUGGUUGAUAAAAAGAUUCUUGUUUUUGAUAAUGCAUGUGUGAGUGAAUCUAUAGACCGUCGAUUAAUGCAUGGUAUGAUUAUGCAACUCUAUGAACCAUGUGAAUCUUUUCAAAUACCUACUUGUGACGAUUAUAUUUACCAUUUGAUUUAUUACUCGCAAUUUAUUCAUGGUUUGUGGGAACAAUGUGAGACGACUGAAUGCCUUAAAACAUGUCCAUCUUUGUUUCAAAUAUUUGACGAGGCAGUGGUGAGUAAAUUAGAUUGUUUGCAUGGUAAUCUGAAUCUGUCCAUUCACAUACGUUAUACCUGUUCUGUUAUGCUUAUGAUUGGACUACAAGCUUGUUUCCGUUGCUAUUUACUAUCUCAUGGCUAUUCUUUUCAGUGGACUCAAUUGCCAUUAGUCCCGUUCGAUAGAGGAAAGUCGAGUUCAUUUGAUUUUUCAGAUUCGAGGACGAAUCUUUUUGAGGAAGGGGGGAAUGAUACGAGUCACAAAAGCCCAAAUUCUUGAAGGCAAGGCCCAAUAAGAAAAUUCCCAGCCCAAUCAAGAAAUCCAUCCAUACUUAGUUGAAAAUCAGGCCAAAUUGUCAAAGUGGCCCAAGUUGUAAAGUUUUAUUUUUAUUUAUUUAUUUAUUUAUUUACUUAGUUUAAAUUUUUAUGUCAAUAUUCAGUCCAAGAGUCCCAGAUAAAAUGACCUUUGACCGAAUUUCCAUAUUAAAAUAAUUAGGAGUUUUUUUUAUUUUAGUUUUCUAAUUAGAUUAGGACUAGUUAUAAGGCCUAUUUAAAGGCAUGACUGUCUACCUUGUUAAACACUUAUCAUUAUUAAAAAAAAUUCAGAUUUGUUGAGAGCAGAAUUUUCUUUGAGUUUUCUCCAAGAUUUUUCUCUUGAGUUUUCUUUAGAAGUUGUUUUAACAAUCUUUUUGAUUGUGGGAGCCAUCUUCAACCUUCUUCUUGCCAUUGAUAUUCUUUGGAGGGGAGAUUAGAGCCGUUUGAAGGGAGUUGUGAGAUCUUUCGAGAUUUCAAGGCUUCUUAGGACUUAUCUUUUAAUUUCUUACUGUCAAUUCUUUCUUUAUUUCUACUUGUGCUGAAUCAUUAUCUAAUCUAUUUUCUGUUCUUAUUGUGUUUUCAGCCUUUUCCCAUCUUAAGGAAUCAGCCCAAAAAUCCCCAAUUUCUAGGGUUUUUCCAUACUCUUUUUGGGUGAAAUUAGAUUGUCGAAAUUUGGGGAAAACUAUCUUGGUGUUCAAUUGGGCAGAAUCACAAUCUCCUUGAGGGUUUCAAGAACCCUAACACUUAUUUCUAUUCUCAAUUUGAUUCUUUGCUGAUUUGGGGAUUUUAUUUCAGAUCUGAAAAUUAAAAAAUCUAAUCUUUUAAUUUUCUGUUUCGUUUCAGAUCUAAUUGUUUAGGGUUUUCGUAGGAGUUUCUCGUGACUUGGCAACUCGAUCUUGGUCCGCGCGCAACCCCGUAUCAACAUGGUUAAACAUUGUGCAGGGCUGCCAUUAGCCAUUGUUGUAUUGGGAGGAAUUUUGGCUACAAAGAAUAAUUCAUUAAACGAAUGGCGAAAGAUAUCUGACAAUGUAAAAUCAUACUUGAAGAGAGGCAAAAAUCAAGGACCAGAGGAUGUGUUAGCAUUAAGUUAUGAUGAUUUGCCUCCCUAUCUAAGACCAUGUUUCCUCUAUCUAUAAGCCAUUUUCCGGAGGAUUAUAUGAUAGAUGUGGAUAGAUUGAUUCAAUUAUGGGUUGCUGAAGGUAUUGUGUCAUCAAAGCAAGAAAAAAGAGAUGGUGGGGAAAUUUCGGAAGAUAUGGCGGAAUCUUAUUUAAUGGAGCUUGUGGAAAGGUGCCUGAUUCAAGUACGAGAAAGAGAUGUGGCAACCUUAAAGGUAAAAACGAUUCAGAUGCAUGAUCUGAUGAGAGAUCUUUACUUAUCAAAGGCAAAACAAGAAAAUUUUGUCUUCAUUGUUGAUCGAUCGAAUGCAUCUUCAUUAUCUAUGAUUCGGAAGGUUCAUAGGGUUUCUGUGCAUGAGUUGUUUUUCAUACAAUGCAUUAAAAGUCCAAAUAUUCGAUGACUUUUGUUCUUCAAUGAGUUCUUUCCGGAUGAGGCAGUAGAAAAAUCUUUGCCCUUGGAAGUGUUGAAUUACGUUGAAGAACAUGAAGAUUAUGAUUGUAAUCCACUGUAUUGGAUUCUUUUCAUUUCGGGAAUUAGUACGAUGGCUCUUAAAAUUCGAGGAAUUUGGAGAUACAUGUUCGACAACUUCAAAUUGCUAAGAGCCCUAAACUAUGAGAGAACAGGAGGUGAUCCUUCUGUAGGGUUUAAGUUACCCAGUAAUAUAGGUAAUCUCGUCCAUUUAAGAUUCUUGAGUCUAAGGAAUCUUAACUUCCAUUGGUCAAAGUUGCCAUCAUCUCUAGGCAACUUAAGGUGCUUGCAAACCUUGGAUUUAAGAGUUGAGAAUGUCAAAAUUCAUGUACCUAAUGUGAUAUGGAGGAUGGAGCAACUAAGACAUUUGUAUCUCCCUUUGAGAUGUAAAAGCAGAACUAAGUUGAAGUUGGGUACUUUGAGCAAACUCCUAACACUUGUGAACUUCAACACCAAGAAUUGUUAUCUGAAGGAUCUUAUCAACAUGACAAAUCUUAGAGAGUUGGGGAUAAAUUUGCCCUUCAAUAUUGAAAAUUUCAAUAAGAAGGAGUUGGGCGAGAAUCCACCCAUAAUCGGAAGUAAAUAUCUUCAUUCCUUGUUUAUUGUUUCCAUUGGGGAAUCCGGCUCAGAAAUAGAUCCAAGACAUUUGGCCCACCUCCUUUCAAAUUGUACUAGUAUUUGCAACUUAAGUAUAGCAGCAAGGAUAAGUGAGUUACCAGAGUAUCACUACUUCUCUUCCCAUCUCGCUUACAUACGGUUGAGUUGGUUCAAGUUUAGGAAAGAUCCAAUGCCAACACUAGAGAAGCUGCCUAACUUAAGGAUUCUUGAAUUCGAAAGUUCUUUCAAAGGAAAGGAAAUGUUUUGCUCUGUUCAGGGUUUUCCUAAACUUGAGUCUCUAAUCCUUGGGGGGCUCGAAAAUUUGGAGGAGUGGAAGAUGGAUGAAGGAGCCAUGCCUUUUCUUCAGCGAUUGGAGAUCACGUAUUGCAGAAGAUUGAAGAUGCUUCCAGAGGGAUUGAGGUUCAUUACAACCCUCAAAGAACUGAAGAUUGAAUUAAUGCCAAAGGCAUUCAAAGAUAGAUUGGAGGAAGGAGGAGAAGAUUUCUACAAAGUCAAACAUGUUCCUUCUAUCAUAUUCCAAAACUGGGGCUAAUAGAUUGAAUGAUAAUUGAGAGGUAAUUUCAUGACCUCUAGUUUAGGAAAUGAUUCCUACUUUCUUUGCUUUUUAUAUAUCUUUCGUUUUUGACAAUAUCUCACAUUCUCACUCCAUUUGUCAACACACCAAUGAAUAAUUACAUUUAUUAAAAGUCAAAGGAAGUCAGACAUUGAUAUUUUCAGUUUUGCUUUUCAGGUAAAGACGCCAUUUUUUUCACCUGCUACUGCUAUUCGCGAGAUCAAAUCUAUAAUUAAAAUUACUCCUAUUAUAAGUGGCGUGUGAACGUGUGUUAUAUGGUGAGAUUUGGAAUUAUCUUCUCUCUUGUAUAUAUCUAUGGUUGUUGAAUGUUUGUUGUUUUCUUCAAAUUACAAUAAAACGGUUGCAAGAUGUGGUAUUGGAAGAAUGGGAGGUGUCUGGAUUAGCAAGGUACCAAACCCCUCCUCCAUUUCAAUUUCCUUUUUUUGUCUUUUAAAACAUAAAAUUGCAGAUAAUGAGACGUCACUGACCUUUGUUCCCACAUAGCUUUGGUUUGCGGUGACCAUUCCUAUAUUUAUUUGUUAGCUUUGCUUUCUCUUUCUUUUUUUUCCCUACUUAAGUCUGCUUGAGUCUUUUUCUUUUUUUAUAUGUACUUAAUGUAAUAGUAGAAGCCAAGGCAGGACCAUGCUUUUCUAUUGUAAAAUUCAUCACUUCGUUAUUUUAUAUUUGUAUGUUGGACACAUUUCCCGUUUCAACAUAUUUUCUUAUUUUAUGAAAGUCGAUUGGUAUUCAUCAUAAAAAUUACGAUAUUAUAUCAAGUUUAAUGGUUACUGUAGAAGCCCAAAUUUGCCCGGGCCCUACCAGCAAAACAAAUUUCAGCCCAAAUGGCCCAGUUACAUUACAAAAUUAAUUGGACUAGCCCAAACACCAACCCACAAGCCCAAUUACAACCCAAACCCGAGGACCAAAUUCGGAGCCCAAUUCCCUCCAAAAAUCCAACUAGGGUUUUUGAAAAAUGAAACCCUAGCCAAACCUAGCGCCGCAUCCAUCCCUCUGCCGUUCGCCUUGUCCCAUCGCCACCCACCGUGCCUAGCUUCAUCAACACCUGCAAAAUGACAGAAAAAGCCGGAGCACGCAACAGAUAGUGCAAAACAAUAGAAUACAACCAAAAAAAUACAAUGUAAAUUGGCUAUAAAAGCCAAACAAAAUCUCUGUACAAUUUUUUUUUACACAGCGUUUUGAAUCCAAAAAAAAGAAAAACAGAUCAAAAGGUUGACUCCAAUUUAUUCUUCUCUGUUCUUGUUUCUUAUUUACUUUACUAUUUAUUUAUUGUUUAUUUUUUUUCGCACUCGUUCAACAAAGAAAAAGGAAUUGAAAGGGAGAGGAGAAAAUACCUUACCGCUUCGACGGGCUGGUGUCGGAACCCCACCCUUGCCGUCGUCGGAGUCGAGCCAAAAGGGGCGUCUCAUCCCUUUUCCUUUUGAUCUCGCGGUUGAUAAGGCUUAGCCUUCGGGGACGCCGCAAAAGGGGGAGGCCUAGGGGCCGUUCUCGCGCAACUCCGGCCAUUGGCCAUGGAGGCGGAGAUGGCGGCCUGAGCUUAAGGGCCGAGAGAGGCGUAGGGAGGAGAGCAUUCAGGCUCUCAGUUUUCCUUUUUUUGCUUUUUUUUAUUUUCUUUUUCUUUGUUUGUUUAAAAGAUGAAUGGAGGCUAUCAGAUUAGGGUUCUUCUUGGCCCUUAUGUGAUGUUUGAAACGACGCCGUUUGGAGUCUGAUCAGUGACUCUAAAACGGCGUCGUAUUGGGCUCGACCCGCGCAUUGACCCGAUGGACCCCAAGGAUCCGCGUGUUUCGGACUGAGGGUCUAUUUACCCUUUCAGUCCUUCCGAUUCUGGGCUUCCCUCCAAUCUAGUCCUUUUUUUUUAACUUUCCUCCCUAGGGAUUUUGCUUUGUUUUUAAUUUAGUUCUGCUUUUUAUUAUUUUAUUUUAAAAUAAUUAUUUUUAUCUUAAAAUUAAUUAGUUUUAUUAUCAUUAUUAUUGCUUUUAUUUCUCUUAUUUGCCUUAUUAUUUAUCCAUUUAUACUGUUUUUGGAUUAUGUUAUAUAUAUGCAUACUUAUACACAUAUACUUACAUUUUCAUACAUUUCGUAAUUAUAUAUAUAUAUAUACAUAUUUUUAUAACAUGUAUACUCGUAUAACUUUCCAAGUUUACUCACAUAUGUAUAGCUACUUAGAUAUAUAUUAUUUAUAUUUUAUACUUUAAUAUACGAACACACAUAUUUUAUUUUUAUGAGCAUUUAUACAUAUUUAUCUUUUAUUAUUUUAUGUAUAUAGCUGCAUGUCUAUAUAUAUAUUUUCAAUUUUCAUAAAUAUAUACUUAUGUACUUUAUAUCUUAUACCUCAUAUUAUAUACGUAUUUUUAAUUUCCACAUCUAUAUACUUUAUAUCUCAUUUAUGUAUAUAUCCUUGUAUACAUAUACUUUCAUAUACUUUAUAAUGCAUACAUGCACAUAAUAUAUAUGUACGUUUUAUUUUCAUAAAAACAUAUACAUAUACUUACUUUUAUACUUUAUAUAUUUCAUAACUUUAUGUAUAUACAUAAACGUACACAUACAUAUUUACAUAUAUUUUUACAUACAUAGAUUUUUCACAUUUUUAUAAUUUUACACACACACAUAUAUCUUUUUACCCUUUUUUAUAAUCUUACUCAUCUAUUUAUUUGUUUCAUUUUCAUUAUUGAUUUGAAUGAAUGCUUUAAUUUUAUUUACUCGUACACAUUACUAUUUCGUAUGUUAUUGAUUCGUACUUUGUAUUUAUCUUAUUUUUGUUACAAUCGCUCGUAUUAUUUUUGCACUAUUGUAUUCAAUAUCGUUUUGUUACGAGUAUGAACAUCGUGUUUUAUUAUUUCAUGUUGGAUUAAUUUAUUUCAAUGCAUAAACUACGAUUUUUUGAAUAAGCAAAAUCUCGUGUUUAGAUUUGAGAAUGUCGUACCCUAACUUACUGGGUCUCGAUUUUCCCAAUAAAUCUAAAUACACGAAUCUUUUCAAACUCAAGUUUUAAACGAUAUCGGGAAUUAAAAAAGGACCGUGUCUUAACUUACUGGUCGUGAUUCCUUUUCUAAUCCAAGAUAGUUAAAUACUUUUUAAAUAAGCAUUUUUUUGUAUAUUGAGAAUUCGAGAUAUUGUGUCCUAACUUACUGGAUACGAUUCUCUUUCUCGAUUAACAUAAGAUAUGCUUCUUUUCCCAAAUUUUUAAUGUUUAAUACAAGGAUCGUACUUUUAAUUCUUUCAAGUUCUCAAUUUUCAACAUCAAGACGUUAGAUAAUUAACUAGGUACCAAUUUCUGGGCGUUACGAGGGUGCUAACCCUUCCUCGUACGUAACCGACUCCCGAACCCGUUUUCUAGAUUCCGUAGAUCAAAACCGUUGUUUUAAUAAAACCAAAUUAUUUAUUAAAAACAACAUUUUUCCAAGGUGACCCAAUCACACUUCAAAAAGGAUUGGUGGCGACUCCCAUUUCAUUUUCAAAACCCAAGUCGACCCCGUUUUUUCAUCAAAAAAAAUGGUGUCAACAGUUACACUUCCAAAACAAAAAAUAGGAAAAAUUAAAUCUUACCAACUAAUAACACUUCCAAAUUACAUUGUCUUACAGAAAAAAAGAAGAUACAGUUUGAAUUUUUUUAUCAAAUGAUUUGGCAAGCUAUGCUUUAUAAAAAAGGCAAGGGAAUCAAAGAUUCCAAAAUCGAUAUUUAGAUUCAAGAUUUUGUAUCCCCAUGCUUUGCUUCUUAUAUCUACCAACAAUAUCUUGAUGAUAACAAACUAAAAAAAAAAUAUUCAAGGGAAUCGAAGAUUUCAAAUCCAACUUAAUCGAUUGAAAAUUUCACAUCCACUUAAUUAAUUCAAAUGAUAUUUAUUCAACAAGUUUAAAUUAAAAACUGCAAGAAUCUUCAUUUAUCUUUUAUUCGAAAUGUAAUUCGGAUUCAAUGAAAAUAUUGAACAUAUAAUGUGUGCACAUGGAAAUGUCCAAAUCUUUAAAUAUAGGGUCCACAUGGGAGAAAUCUUUAAAAUUCAUUAUGAUCCUAUUGUUUUCGUUAUAAAACUCAAUAUCUUAUUCGGAUUAGGAUACGAGCGAAUAACAGCUAACUAUUUGUAGUUCAAGGUGUGAUAAAAUCUCAGUAGCUAAGAUAUGAAUGUUGCAAAAUACCAUACAAAACCACAGCCACAUUUGUUGGUAUGACUAAUUUGGGUAAUCAAAGGAAAAAAAUGUUAGCUGUUGAGCAAACAAGGUGAACAGAUUAGAUAUUCGAAUUCCGUUCAAGCACUUGACAAAUCCUUUCUGCAAUGGCUUCAGCACGCAUCCUAGGACCUUCAUCAUCUGCAAAAACCGACCAUUUCUAACAACUAAGCUAACAUCACACAUGAUAAUAUAUGUAUAUUACAUAUAUAGAAGAUGAUUAUGUGGAUUAAAAGCUAUUUUAGUUUGACUCAAUACAUGACCAUGGGACAUGCACGAUUCUUCAAUAACGAUAUGAAAAUACUUGGAAGAAAAAUUAAAUAUAUCAAUAUCUAACAUUUACAUCUGAGUUCGAGUAAACUAAAACAUGUCAUUCUAUCUAAACAUGCAAAAUAUCCAAAACUCUUGACGAAUGUUAGAUACAAAUAUGUAGAAUGUACCCAAAAUACCCAUCUCGAACUCAGUAGAGAAAUAUCUAGCACUCAAAAGGCACUAGCUUCAACCAAGAACAAGGAAGUUUCUUCAAAGGCUUGAUAUACUUUCUUCACAGCCAUAUAUAUGUGUGCAUAUACCCAUAUUAAGGAUGAUUGUUUUGGCAAAGAGGAUGAGAAGAAAGAAAGAAAACCUUUAAUCCAAUGACAAUAUUUGAUUAUAACAACACGACACAUAUAAUUGUGAUUAAAAUUGCGGUCACAAACAUGUUUGCAAUCACAUCAUGUUAACGAAUACUAUCACAAUCAAUUGCAAUAAAUAUCCACAACAACAAGAGCCAGAAUCCUAAAAUAACAAAGAUAAUACAUUACAGCUGUUAAGGAAUUUUCAAUAACGUAUAUACCUGCAAGAUUUUCAGUGAUGACACAACAAAGUUCACACCAGACAACUUCCCGAUCUAAUGAAAUUUUCAAACAUAUCAUGUCAUAAGUUUCAAGAUCAACUGAAACAUGAGGAUUCCAAGUAUGAUAAGAAAUUAAAUUAAGGAUUUUCUACUGCAAACCUACCACGAAAACAUAAUUUUUAUUAGGAUCAAAAGCAUAGCCCAUCAUGGCAACAUUAUUGAGUCCAUUUUCAGAGGAAAAUCCUGAAACAUGUUACAGGCAAAUAUUAAGAAAAACAAUGCACAAGCGUAAGUACAAAAACAUAGCAUGCAAGAAAUCAAUACUUGAAAGGAUUAAAAUCACUGCUAACCUAAGACAUUGAAUCUAGCACCACUAGGAAACAUCCAAAAUGAUACUUGUCUUUCAAUGUUGAGAUACAUAGGUCCAAGUCUGCCAUGUUGUGCCAAACGGGAAUUCAUCAACCUCUUGAGAACCUAAAGGAUGAAAAGUUCCAGUCCAAGUUAUAUAUAGACACACACACAGAUAGACAUGAAGAAAGUUGGGUUAAUGGUGUAUUAUUUAAGUAAAGAAAAAGUUGAAAUCUUGAACCUAUAAAUAUUAGGUAACAGCUAGUGCUAAAAGUGCAUAAAGUUCUGCUAUUAUCUACAAGAAACAAUGGACGAAUCACAUACAUUGUUUAUAUUCACUUUUCUUGCUACACAAGCAAGCUGAGGCCAUAAACAAACGCAUACCUUUUUCUCUGUUUUUAAAUGGUUUUCUUGUUUUUUUGGUGAGACCUCGUCAUCCUCAAGGAGUAAGUGGUCAAGCAUGAAGAUGAUGGGAAGACCACAAGUCGAUGGUGGUCGAUCCAUGAGUUGAUUAUGAGUAGUUUCAUGUUAUGAAAUAAAAAUGUUAGCUAAAGUUAGUUGAACGCUGUGUUUUAGGGCUGAGGGUUUAAUGAAACUAUAAGUUUUGAUGUUGAAUGAAAAUGGUGCGUAUUGACAGUUUGUUACAACUGCUCGAGGAACAGCCCUAUAACAGACUUUGUAACUGCCAAUUCUCAGCCAUAAUAGAAACCGGCAUGGGAAAUGAGCAGAUAUGCCAUUUUGUGAAGGAAAUCAAUUCUUUCUUCUUCCACGAUUCUCUUUCUCUUCUCUCUUUUUCUUUCUUCCUCUAUUCUGUUGAAAUUAUGCAUCACUUCACCAGCAUUCAUCAUUGUGGACGUAUCUGAUCUUCAGUCUCUGGUUUACUGCCCAUGUAAAGUUAUGGAAAGGAAUGCAAAUUUAAAAGGUUUUCUUGCUAUUGUCUAUGCAAUUUCAUGUGUGCGUGAAAGGAGAUGAAGAUUAAUAGAGUAAUACUGAUAUACCAACAAUUCAUUAAUUGAAGUACUAUCAAUAUUAUCAACAAGUAACAGAAUUAAGUGAGUAUACUAAUAUAGUCUAGAAAAACAAUUUAAUUAAUAAUACCAUAGGGAUGGCAACAGGGUGAAGUUGCUAUUGCUAUUUAUAUCUCUGCUGUUAGCUUUUGACGACUUCAAGUAAACCACAAUCACAAGUGUUGUUCUUAUUACCUGCAAAAACACAGCCAACAAUCUGAAUCCAUAUCCCCAUUUUAGGAACAAAUGCAUGGUGUACCAUUUGUUUCGAAGCCAAAUCAAUUUUCUUAAUUUUUCUUUAAGUAAAACCGUAUCUGACACUUAUAUUCAACACAUAUUCAUGUAUUGGUAUGAAGAUAUGACAUUCUUAUCCUAUACUCAUACCCGUGCUCAAGUAACAUAAGCUGAUCCCGCAAGAUAACUGAUUUAACAUCGCUUUGCUGCUAGCUAUUGAUGAUUUCACCAAGUAAACUGCAAUCACAAGUGUUGUUCUUAUUCCUUGCAAAAACACAGUCAACAAUCUGAAUCCACAUUCCCAUUUUCGGAACAAAACCAUGGCGUACCAUUUGUUUCAAAGCCCAAUCAACUUCCUUUACCAUCUUCCCCUUACAAAAACCAUGAAUCAACUUCUUGUAUGAAUCAAAACUAGGAUUAACCCUCUCGAAAACCAUUCUCCCCAUAAUCUCCUUUGCUUCCAUAAACCUCGCAGCAUCAAGCAAACCGUACAACACCUCUUGAUAAGACCCUGCAUUGGGAUAACACCCUUUCUUUUUCAUAAUUUCCAACAGCUUCACACCUUCAUCAAUCCUACCUUGUUUCCUAAGACCUGAAAUCAAGAUAUUAAAGCUAACAGCAUCAGCAUCGAUUCCUUCCGUUUCCAUCCUCCCCAUCAACUCAAAAGCUUCAUCAACCUUCCCCUUAUCGCACAACCCGUGCAUUAAAGUAGAAUAUGUUCUAACAUUAGGCUUACACCUUUGCUUAGGAAAUUCAUCGAGCAGUUGGAAUGCAAACUCUAAUUUCCCAUUUGCACACAACCCUUUAAUGAGAAUAUUCAGAGUACAAGCUUCGAUUUCAACACCCAAAUUGGGAGCUUUCCCAUAAACCUCGUGAACAACAUCAAAUAGUUUGUUCGAUACGAGUAAGCUCAAUACGAUAUUGAACGUUUUAACACUAGGCCAAGUCCCAUAUUCUGGCAUGCUAAAAAGGAUCUCGAUUGCCCUUUUGAUUCGACCUCCGACAUGCCCAUACUUUUUAAUCACAUUCUGGAAGAAUUCAUCGGAUAAACGACAGGCUUUUUCACGUUUGAGCUUUUCCAUUAUAUUUUCAAUGGAAUCAAAAUCCUGGGCAUAUGCGAGCUUGUUGAUGAGCAAAGUGAAGAGAGGUUCAGUUGGUUUAUAAUCCUUGCGAGCUGAGUAUUGGGCUAGGACUGAAAUGAGAGAGUUUGGAUCUUUAAGAUUAUCAAAGAUUUUGAGGAUUUCGGUCGGGGAGAGCCAGUCUUUGUGGGUUAGUUUGAAAAGGGGAGGGGAAGUGGUGUGGGUUGGUUGAUGGUAGCUGGAAAGUGAGGAGAAAAACGAAAGGGAUUUAAGAGAUGAGAUUUUAGUGGUGAUUGGAUGUUGAAAAAGUGAGGGAAAAUAUUGGGGGUAAGAGCUUUUGAUAGAAGAAAGAAGGGAACGUGUAAUCAUGCGUUUGGCCAUUGGAGAAUGUAGAAACUGGAGAGCUAGAAGCUUUCUGCUAUUCGCACUAUAAACAUAGGGUAAGGGAAAGGCUUAAUACUUGUUUUGUCCCCUGUAAUAUAGGAAAAAUCUCAUUUUGACCCCUGUAAUAUAGUGAAAAUCUUAUUUUGAUCCCUGUAAAUUGCCUGCUUACUUUCAUUUCGUCCAUCAUGUUAGUCUAUUGAUCAUUUCCGUAAAUCCCAUGUGUUAGUGUUCCUAUAUUAUAGUAUUCAUCCAUAUACUUUAACCCUCCACGUAGUCGCAAUCAAUUGGCUUAAAUGAUCACACACGAGGAUCACUAUAGUACAAGGACCAAAGUGAGAAUUUUAUUAUUAAUUAAGUGAUGAACACGUAAACAUGCACUAAUUUUUUUAUACAGAAAUGGUCAAAGGAUUAAAGUGAUAGAUGAAAUGAAAGUAAAGGGCGCAAAGUGAUUGGAAAAGUAGUAAAAGGUUGGAAAAUAUUAAGAGAUUGUAUGAUGCAAAACUUAAAUAAUUUAUCUACUGAAAUUUUGAGGUGUAUUAUUUUGAAGUAAUGAAUCAUUGUUAUUUACAACUAUAUAUUAUAUCUCUUUGAAAUGUACAAAUAAAUUAAUGGGCAGAAUGUUUAUGAAUGUCAGAACUUUAUUUUUGCUUCUUCUUCCCUUCAAGAAUUGGUUGGAUUUGGAGAUGCCUAUUGAAAGCCGGGUUGAAAAGGAAUUGAGUUUGGAAUUCUGAAAAGAUCGGAAUCCAUGCCAAUAUAGCAAUUGGAAAGAAAAGGAUCGAUCCCAUUCCGUAAUCAUAUGACUUAGCUAAUACCUCAGUGAACUGCCAGAGUCCGGUGUUCUCAAUAAUUGGCCUCACAGCUUGAGCAACCUGAAGGGAACUAAAAUGUCAGAGGGAAUAAGGCAAAAGAUGCAAACUCUAGACAAAUACUAUAUGCCGGUCCUCUAAAUAUAUGAACAAAUUUAGAAAAAAACUUGGGCAUGCCCGUAUUUGAUACUUGAAUUCGAGUAACAUAGUCAACUAGACAUACCAAAAUCAGACCCCAUCCAGUCGGCAGAAAUGCAAGACAGCAGACAAGUAAAUCCUUGGACGACAGUUCACAGAUGACUGAGAGAGUGAUAACAAUGGCGAAAACACUUAGGAAGAGGAAUGCUUUAAAGAACCUAAACAUCAGAUGGUAACGAGCACUGAAAAGUUGCCUUCCAAUGUUCACUGCCUGUAUGUCAUGUAGAGAUCGAGUUAUCCAAGCAGAAAAUUCAAGGCUACUUCGGAAUUUUCAAAAUAAAACUCAAUAUACUUGAGCAUUAUGAUACUUGAAUGAAUUUUACCUUGACCGUCAGGAAAACUGCCAGAAUCACAACCCAGGAAAGCACAUAAACAAGGAAAUUUUUGCUCUGUUGGGAGAUGUCAAGAUGAUACACCAAGCCAUACUGAUACAAGAAGAACCGAAUUGAAAGAAGAAUUUCAAACAGUCUAGCACCAUAUCCUGAACGACGAAGGUGAGCUUGUUCAUCAUUCCACCAAGAUUGCCAACUCUUGUUUUGCUGAAUCCCAAUACUACCUUUCUCCUUGAUCCACUUAUUCCAGCCUUUCCAAUCAUCUACAAUCUUGUCCCAAUCGAAUCCGGAAGGAUUAAACAAAAAUGGUGCAAAUAACCAAGUCAUGGUCAUGAACCAAACAGAGUACGUGAUUAAUACAUAUGCCAUGCUACUCUGGUAGGACCUCCGGAACAAAUCGUAAACCACUAACAGGAGAAACAGUUCAAAUCCUUUAACAAAGUGGCUUCGUGAAUACAAUCUGUAGUUCUCAGUAAAGCUGGCAUGAAACACCACAACCUUACGUCCGGUAGGUAUAUACUUAGCUCCGCCAUACAUAAUUGUCCGACCAAAAUGAUGGGUUUUUGUCCCAAGGGAAAAAGUGAAGAAAACAGCAGCAAACUGCAGUUGCAUAAGAACAAAAUCUUGUUCUUGAUAUGUAUUACAUUCCGACCAAGACGGUGUAUGUCACGGCUUAAAGUUUGUUCACUAUUCCCAUUAGCAACUUUGGCCUCGAACUUUGAGAUUUGAUUAAGACCUACAUCACGACCUUUGCCAACUUGCAGGUACUCGUGAUAUGUAAUACAUCCCCGUCGCAGGGUCGAGUUAAAUCCUACACAAGGUAUCAAAUAUAUUUCACUGCAAGGAAACCACAAGUCUAGGACUAAACGGUUGGUAUACAAUAUCGGAAUUCACAAAACCUACCGGCAAAAACAUCCUCACUCAAGUUUAUUGUUUUUGAUGCUUUGCUUAUUCCACCCCUUGUGAUGUGAAACAGCCUAUCAAAUACAUCUGGAUGCCCAUAGUGGAAGCGAACCCUGUAUAUUAAUCGAAAGUGAAGAAUAAAGCAAUAAACACAUUGGUUGAUAUCAAGUAAUUAUAGAAUAGAACAAUCUAGGCCUUAGGCUAACAAGAAGUAGUGAACAAACACUGACAAUAUGGCAUCACAAAGACACCCAAUUCGGUAACUUUACCAAGAACAUGAAACUAACUCCUACUUCCACCAGGGUGGCUAUGCGUUAAGGGUAGAUAAGGGUUGACUCCUGUUUGUAUAUUCGAUAAAAACAAAUAUUGUAGAUGUUGCAAAACCAAGAUAAGAUUGCUCGAAAUAAUAAUUCUGUCGAUGUUAAUUUGUCGAGUACCGUAAUGUAGAUGAUAGCAGAUACAAGAAAGACACAUGCAGUUGAUUAUAAGUAGUAUGAUAUACCGAUAUCUGCAAAAUGAAAUACAGCAUCAAUUACCUGAGAGGAUUGGCAAGAAGCCUUUGACCAAUGGUGACAAAGCUGGUUUCCUGAUACGACAUAAACCAUGCUAAAGCAGAAACACUGCAGUUUGAAAGAAUGUAAUUCAGUCAUUAAGGAGACAAAAAACUUCCGGUUUCACAUAAAUGAAUGAUGGAUUCCUCCACAAAAAAUGAAACAUGAUGAUAUAAAAACUAAAUCCAAUUUUGCUUGAAAUAAUAUCUUAUAUCUAUAGUUUAAUUCCUCUGUGAUUCCUUAUGUUUGUGUCGAAGCAUCUACCCUAAAACUAAGGGAUAUUACUUUAAUAUAAGACCACUGAAAACCAAAUACUUAACAGCUCUGGGAUCAUACCACUUUAACAGUUUGUGAAGUUGGUUUACUAGAGAUUAUAUUUGUCCUGUGUUCGAGUUCUCAGAUAUUGCUAGGUUGUUUCUCAUUCUUGCUCGGUCCUUACUAAAUAUUAAUGCAUUAGCUAAUACAUGAAAACAUGUCCACUGACAGAUUCUUAUUAUCAUUUUUAUGAGUUCAAAGGAUUAAACCUUUCAGUGAAUAUGUAUUCCCUCAGACCAAGUAUUGUAGGAGGGCGCCGCCCACGGUUAUGAUGAAACUCUUGCAGAAGAUUUCUCACUUUAAGAGCUUCUUCCAAAUAAUUGUCCUGAAAUUUUGGACCAGUAUGAGACUAGAAAUGCAUGCAAAGCAACAAAUUUUCAGUUUUUGGAGCAAGAACCUACUUGGUUCAUGUCAAUUGUUUGGAGAGCUUCUCCACGUGUGAAGAUUAUGGCAUGGUUUUGAUUUUCUGGCUUCCCUUCACCAAUGAUUGGUGGACCAGGAAGCUUUAUGCGAUAGAUUACCUGUAGAAGGAUACUAAUGAGAUAUGCUUUAAGACUGCAUUUUAGUAUAGAAUCACAAACAGGGCAUGUUAACAGGAAUUACGACUUUACAAAUAUCCAUAUGAUCACUUAAUUUAAGAAUAGAUAUAAAUAAGCUACUAGGACUUAGAGGUGAGGUUCAGAUACAGGCAUGUGCUUGACACAGGUAUUAUUGAAGUUAUAGUCAGCAUGCAGCAACCAAGACUGUCAAAGGCACUACAUGCAGAAGCUGCUGGUUCACCUAGUCAGCAAGCUGUUAUGUUUCAUUUUGUAAUUUUUAAGUUAGAGUAAUGUAACUUAGUUGCUUUAUAACUAUGUUAGGUUUAUGCUUGAUGUAAUUUUGAUGUUGAUUGAGCUGAUAAAUCAGCUUUGUUUAUUUGUUCAAGCUAAUUAGCACAAGUUACUAUGUGUAUUAGUGGUAGUAGGUGAAGUUUAGGUCAACCUACUGUUUUGUCAAGAUUGUAAACUUGUUUAUGUAUUGGCUUUGGGCCAUUUUGAAGUUUAAGGAAUGAAUUCAACAAGUUUUCAUCUAUAUGCUCUCCAUUUUUAGUUUUGCUUAAAAAUCCAUUUGAGUUUUCUGCUUUGUUUCUCCUACAAGUCACGAGACUUGCAAAACAAGCAUUCUGCUGAAGCUUGCUGUUGCUGCCUCUUGCUCCAACAAUUGGUAUCUAGAGCCGUAUUCUUAGAGGACCUGUUGUAGUUCAACAUCAAAACGAUGGCAUCAUCAGGUUUUUCACCAGCUUCACCACCUGUCUUCAAUGGAGAGGGCUUCAACAUUUGGGCAGUUAAGAUGAGGACUUACCUGCAGGCAUUCGACCUAUGGGAAGUUGUCAACUCAGAUGCUGAGCCAGCACCUCUUCGAGCUAAUCCAACAGUUGCUCAAAUAAGGCAACACACUGAUGAAAGAACAAAAAGGCACAAGGCCAUGUCAUGCAUACAGAAUUGUGUGACAGAUGUGAUCUUUAUGAGGAUCAUGGCCUGUGAAACACCAAAGGAGGCUUGGGACAAGCUGAAAGAAGAAUUUCAGGGGACUGAGAAAACAAGGCAACAACAGCUGCUCAACUUGAGAAGAGAUUUCGAAAAUCUCAAAAUGAAAGAGGAAGAAACAGUUAAGCAGUACUCAGAUCGGAUUAUGGCUGUUGUAAACAGCAUAAGGCUCCUAGGAGAGCAAUUCAGUGAAGCUAGAAUGGUUGAGAAAGUCAUGUCCACUCUACCAGAGAGGUAUGAAGCUAAAAUUUCAUCCCUCGAAGACUCAAGGGACUUGACAACUAUCUCCUUAACUGAGCUAAUCAAUGCCUUGUAUGCACAAGAGCAAAGAAGAGCCAGCAGACAAGAGGAGCACCAGGAAGGGGCUUUUCAAGCCAAAGAAGCCUCGAGCAUCAAAACUCAUAAAGGCAAAAAGUUCUGGAAAAACAGGCCUAAGCCUGAUGCUGCUAGGAGCAGUGACCAACUCUGCAGACAUUGUAAAAGAGCUGGUCAUCCAGAAGAUAGAUGCUGGUUUAGACCAGAUGCAGUAUGUCAACACUGCAAGAAAAAAGGCCAUGCUGAAAAAGUUUGCAAGAAUAGAAGCAAACCAAGACAGAAUCAAUUUCAGCAACAAAAGGUAGAAGCUCGAGUAGCUGAAGAAAGCAGUGAUCAAGAAGAACAUGUUUUUGCUGUGUCAUGUGCAGCAAAUCAGAAAAAGGGUUCAAAGGGCUGGCUUCUAGACAGUGGGUGCACAAACCACAUGUCACCAGAUGCAACUAUCUUCAAAACCCUGGACAGAACCUGCAAAACCAAAGUAAAAAUUGGAAAUGGUCAGUUAAUCAAUGCUGAAGGAAGAGGAGAUGUGCUGAUACAUACCUCUACAGGUGGCAAAAUCAUUUCAAAUGUACUUUUGGUACCUGAAAUUGAUAGGAACCUUCUCAGUAUAACUCAACUACUUGAGAAAGGUUACUCAGUUGUUUUCAAGGAGAAAGAAUGUCAAAUUUUUGAUCCAAGUGGAUCAAACCUCAUAACAGUCACCAUGACUGAUAAAUGUUUUGAAGUAGACUGGCCAAAUGACUCACAUUCAGCCUGCAUAGCCUCCACUGAUGACUCGAGACUCUGGCACCAGAGGCUUGGACAUGCAAACUACAAAUCCAUAGCCCGCAUGGUCAAUGAAGGUCUGGCAGAAAAUUUCAUCGAUUCAGUGAAGAAUGAUGAGCUUUGUGAGAUAUGUCAGCAAGGAAAAUUGGCAAGAUUGCCAUUUCCAACAAGCACAACAUGGAGAGCAUCAGAGAAGCUCCAGCUUGUGCAUACAGAUGUGUGUGGACCAAUGAAGACUGAGUCUCUCAAAGGAAGCAGGUACUUUAUUUUAUUUAUUGAUGACUUAACAAGAUACUGCUGGAUUUAUUUUCUAAAACAGAAGUCAGAAGUUCCAUCUGUGUUCCUGAAGUAUAAAACUGCUGUUGAAACUGAGUCUGGUUGCAAACUUAGAGCAAUGAGGUCAGAUAAUGGAACUGAGUACACCUCAGCUCAGUUCCAAGCCUACUGUGAAGAAGCAGGUAUCAAACACCAGUUGACUAAUGUGUAUACACCCCAACAGAAUGGGGUCAGUGAAAGGAAAAACAGAAGCUUGAUGAACAUGGCAAGAUGUCUUCUGUUUGAGAAGAAUUUGCCCAAAACUCUGUGGGCUGAAGCUGUUAACACAGCAGUCUAUCUCCAAAACAGGCUUCCAACCAAGGCUCUGGCUGAAAAGACUCCAUUUGAAGCCUGGUUUGGGUUUAAGCCAUCACUGGCUCAUCUCAGAACCUUUGGUUGUCUGUGCUACACACAAGUUCCAGCUGAGAAGAGAAGCAAGCUAGAUAAAAGAGCUCAAGCAGGGAUCCUGAUCGGCUAUAGCUUGGUUAAGAAGGGCUACAGAAUCCUAGAACCUGCUACAAACAAGAUAUUGGUUAGCAGGGAUGUUGUUUUCAAUGAAAAAGGACACUGGAACUGGGAGAAGGCUGAACCAGAGGCAGUGGUUGAAGAUCUCGCAGUGGACCAAGUUGAAAAUGAUGAAAACACACCUGAAAUGGAUGUAGAUGAUGUUCCAAUCAGAGGCACUCGAUCACUGGCUGAUGUUUAUGAAAGAGCACAAGUGGCUACUGUUGAACCAAGUUGCUUUGAAGAAGCAGAAAACCAGGAGGACUGGAAGCAAGCAAUGAUUGAAGAAAUCAGAAUGAUUGAAAAGAAUCAGACCUGGAGUCUGGUUGAUAAACCAACAAACAGGAAGAUUAUUGGUGUCAAAUGGGUUUAUCGAGUAAAGAACAAUGCUGAUGGUAGCCUAAACAAGUUAAAGGCUAGAUUGGUUGUGAAAGGUUUCAGUCAAAGGUAUGGGUCAGACUACCUGGAAACCUUUGCACCAGUGGCCAGGCUAGACACUAUCAGACUGCUAGUUGCCUUAGCAGCACAAAAACAGUGGCUGAUACACCAACUUGAUGUAAAAUCAGCAUUUCUGAAUGGAUUCCUUGAAGAGGAGAUUUAUGUGGAGCAACCUCAAGGUUUCAAGGUGUCUGGCAAGGAAGAAAUGGUGUACAAGCUCAACAAAGCCUUGUAUGGCUUGAAACAGGCUCCAAGGGCCUGGUAUAGCAGAAUAGAUGGCUAUCUGACCAGUCAAGGAUUUGAAAGAAGUCUUAGCGAGCCAACUCUGUAUGUUAAAUCAACUAGUGCUGAAACUCAGCUCAUUGUCUCAAUAUAUGUCGAUGACCUACUGGUGACAGGAGGAGAUUAUGAGAUGCUAAGCAGCUUUAAAGUCAAAAUGCAACAGCACUUUGAAAUGUCAGACUUGGGAUUGAUGUCUUACUUCUUAGGCAUGGAAGUGAACCAAGCUAAGAAUGGGAUUUGGCUAAGUCAAAAGACCUUUGCUAUGAAGGUUCUCAACAAAUUCUCAAUGGAGAAUUGCAAAGCAACCAGCACACCAGUUGCUGUUGGAGAAAAACUCUCGAGCCAAGACAAGCAUGAAAAGGUUUGUGAAACAACCUAUCGAAGUCUAGUUGGAUGUUUGUUGUAUUUGACUGCUACUAGACCUGACAUAAUGUAUGCUGUGAGUCUACUCUCGAGGUUUAUGCAUUGUUCAAAUGAAAGUCAUUUUAGAGCUGCAAAAAGGGUUCUAAGAUACAUCAAAGGAACUUUGUCCUAUGGAAUGCAGUUUACCAAGGCUGAGAACUUGAAGCUAGUUGGAUAUUGUGACAGUGAUUGGGCUGGUUCCUUGGAUGACAUGAAGAGCACUACAGGUUAUGCAUUCAACAUAGGCUCUGCUAUGAUUUGCUGGAGCUCAAAGAAGCAGGGAGUAGUGGCUCAGUCGACUGCAGAAGCGGAAUAUGUGGCUGCUGCUGCAGCAGUCAAUCAAGCCAUAUGGCUUAGAAAAAUUUUGAAAGAUAUCAAUCAUGAGCAAAAGGAAGCAACUGAGAUAAUGUGUGACAACCAAUCAGCAGUUGCUAUUGCAAAGAAUCCUGUUUUUCAUGGAAGGACCAAGCACUUCAACAUCAAACUUCAUGCAGUUCGAGAAAUGGAACAAGCUCAUGUUGUUAAGCUGAUACAUUGCAGUUCUGAAGAGCAAAUUGCUGAUAUUUUAACAAAAGCAGUAAGUGUUUCCAAGUUUCAACACCUGAGAGCUAAUAUGGGAGUUUGCAACAUGCUAACCAAGGAGGAGUAUUGAAGUUAUAGUCAGCAUGCAGCAACCAAGACUGUCAAAGGCACUACAUGCAGAAGCUGCUGGUUCACCUAGUCAGCAAGCUGUUAUGUUUCAUUUUGUAAUUUUUAAGUUAGAGUAAUGUAACUUAGUUGCUUUAUAACUAUGUUAGGUUUAUGCUUGAUGUAAUUUUGAUGUUGAUUGAGCUGAUAAAUCAGCUUUGUUUAUUUGUUCAAGCUAAUUAGCACAAGUUACUAUGUGUAUUAGUGGUAGUAGGUGAAGUUUAGGUCAACCUACUGUUUUGUCAAGAUUGUAAACUUGUUUAUGUAUUGGCUUUGGGCCAUUUUGAAGUUUAAGGAAUGAAUUCAACAAGUUUUCAUCUAUAUGCUCUCCAUUUUUAGUUUUGCUUAAAAAUCCAUUUGAGUUUUCUGCUUUGUUUCUCCUACAAGUCACGAGACUUGCAAAACAAGCAUUCUGCUGAAGCUUGCUGUUGCUGCCUCUUGCUCCAACAGGUAUGCUCAUUUUUUUUUUCUAAGUUCUUCCAUGUAUUUGGAGGAUUCGGCCCACAUACGCAUGUUCAAAUAUGUGUUAAACGAUGGUACUUCAAGAAAAAUAAAGAGUCAGAGUAACAUGGUAUACUCCAUGUGGACAAGUAUGCUUUUUGACGUUAUACUGUGAAUGUUAUUGAACCCAAUCUUGCUAGACAAUAAACUGACACGGCAUUUAUAUUUUUAAUUCUUUAAUCUCAAAAGGAGGAAUUGUGUACUAAUCCUAUGUUGGCAUGCAUUUUAGGUAUUGGUACACAAUUCCUCUAACUGUGACAUCUUACUUGGAGCAAAGACCAAACAUAUCUUUCCAUAGUAAUCCCUGAACUUUAUCACUUUUCUUAAGUAAUCCCCUGUAUUUUUAUGAUAACUAAACAAAUCCAUAUCCUUUUGACUUAUAACCAAAUAAUCCUUUAUUUCAUAUGAAAGAUUAAUUUAUGUUAAUGGCUUAUUUAUGUACAAAUUAAAGGUUAUAGACUUAUUCGGGAAAAAAUUAAAGGUUGAGGUAUUAUUUAGAGGCAAUAAAAGUAUAAGGGCUUAAUUGGUCCUUGGUAAGUGAUAAAAUUUAGGAGCUUUUUUGUUAAUUUAACAUCAACCUAAUAAUGUUUAAAAAACUUGAUUGACUUAAUACCUGAUCAAAAGUACCAACAGCUUUUGCCAGAAUAGAAAAAUAAACCUUUUGAGGCUUAUCUCCUAUUAUUUCUUCUUUCUCUUCAAUAUAUGCAACACGUAGAGCUGGAUACCUACAGAGAAGAAACUGUAUUUCGUUAUUUUGAUUUCUAACAUACAUCUUAUGUUUCAAUAUUUAUGCAGUUUUAUCAUAUUUAGAUAAGUUACCUUAUCAUCAAAUCCUUUACGUCUUCUGCACGAGGGUCCCCAGAAGAUUUAUGUGAGCCGAACAUUUGACAAGAGACAACAUACGUGAAUUUCAUGUCUACUAAGGCAUCUAGUUCCGCAGAUGACUUGGGAUUAUUUCGUUCAAAAACAUUAACAUCCUCGAGAACGUCUGGAUAAGCACAAGUAGCCAGGAGGAAGAAAAUAAGAGCAAUAAAAGCUGAUUAGUUUAAUCAUUCUCAUUAACUUAUAACCAUAUGCUGAUAGAAUACUUAUUAAACAUCAGAUUAUGAGCAGAGGAUCAUUAACCUUUAUACUCAGGCAUUUCAAGAAGUGCUUGUAAUUUUAAGGCUUGUCUAUAGUACAUAAUUCCUCUAACUGCCACAUCGAAAGGAAAAGAAAUAAAUUAGUAAUAUAUUUACAAGCAAUUCAAGCUUCACUUGCAAGCUCGUUAAUAUAUUUUACUAAGAAAUUUCAAGCACCUGUUCUGCUUAGCGUUUGGCCACGAAAAGAAGCCCACUUUCUAAUCUCUUCCUCCUUGCCAUCAUCUAUUAGUUCAUUAAAGUUUUGAUAUCCCAUACGCUCCAAAAAGUUCUUCCACUCAUCUAAGAAAAAUGAAGGAAUGUUAUGCACGUGGAGAUGUAUUCAAAUGGAUUUUCAAUCUUUGUUACUCAGACACAAUUACAAGUAUCAGACCCAGAUAUGUGGCUUAAACAAGUAUGCUCAAUUUUGUUUAAGUUUUUCCAUCUAUUUGGAGGGUCAUAUGUACUUAUGUCUGGAUAAGCAUCAGACAUGGGUGUUGGAUGUGGGUACUUUCAGAAAAAUAAAGUUGAAGUAACACAGUUUUCAAUAUGAUUUUCUACAAAGAUAAUAUUUUAUUACCUGGGAAGAUUUUUUGCAUAUGGAAGAUGAUAGAAACUUGUCCUUUGCUUGAUUGUAGCUCCUUCAUCGAAAAAUUGACAUCCUCCAUAUAAUGGGGGGGUCAUAACACUGUAUUAAACAGAAUAUGUUGGUUCAGAGUCUAAAAGGCUUGUUACUCUGAUGAAGCAAGGUUGUAAAUGAUACAUUAUAGUGAUUCUUAGUUAUUACAACAAAAAUUCCCAUCAUAGUACCAAUGCAAGCAACUGACAUUGGCAAAAGUGACAAAUACAAUACAUGGACAAAACACAAAGAACAACUUGGCAUCUUUAACUUUUCACGCAGCACCACAAAGAAUGCAAUUAUGAACCAAAAUUCACGUAGAAAGAUCGCUAACUUUAUAACAGAGUAAUACAAUAUGAGUACUGUUAAUGGGAAAAUCUUAUUGAAAGAGUCAAAUGAAAAGGAUAUGGGAAACUGUUUACAUAUACCUAGCCUACUUAAACUGUUAUAUACUUACAAUUUCGAAUUAUCUUCUCUUUUGUUGACAUCAGACUGGUUGACUGUUUGUUGUUUUCUUCAAAUUACAAUAAAACGGUUGCAAGAUAAGGUAUUGGAAGAAUGGGAGGUGUCUGGAUUAGCAAGGUACCAAAACCCUCCUCCAUUUCUAUUUCCUUCAAUCUAAUUUAAUUACACAUUCAUUUUUGUCUUUUAAAAUAUAAAAUUGCAGAUAAGGAGACGUCACUGACCUUUGUUCCCACAUAGCUUUGGUUUGCGGUCACCAUUCCUAUAUUUAUUUGUUAGCUUUGAUUUCUCUUCCUUUUUUUUUCCCUACUUAAGUCUGCUUGAGUCUUUUUCUUUUCUUUAUAUGUACUUAAUGUAAUAUUAGAAGCCAAGGCAGGACGAUGCUUUUCUAUUGUAAAAUUCAUGACUUUGUUGUCUAUGUUCAUUUCUACUCUUCAGUUUACUUAUUGUUUGAUAUAUAUUUGAAUAUGGAGAAUAUAAUCUUUUUUAUAUAUACAUAUUUUAGAAAAAAUUGAAUAUAUGUAUGUUGGACACAUUUCCCGUUUCAACAUAUUUCUUUAUUUUAUGCAAGUCGGUUGGUAUUUAACCAAAUAAAUUUAAUUACUAUAGUUCGGGUUAAAACUAAAAUUUUAAAAUUUAAAAAAAAUACAGAAAUUGAAGUUCACAAAUUGAAAAAAUAUACAUAUUAAAAUUGAUCAAAUUAAAAGUGCACCGAUUAACCUUAAUUUUUCUGUUAAUCUUUCUGUUCCCUUAAUUAAAUGUCCAUAUUUAAGUAGUUGGACACAUAUUCAAGUUUGAUAUUCGUCUUAAAUUCGUGCAAUACGGUUAAAUAUUGGUGAACUAGUAGUUGAUGAAGUAUUAUAUACAUUCUUGGAAUAUUGCUCCAUUCAACGAAUUUAUUUCAGCUCCAUAUGCUUAAAACACCUCCCGUUUCUACCAUAUUUCCUCAUUUUGCGUAACCCGAUUAGUAUACAACGUAAUCUUUUUCAUUGUUUAGUAUCCUAAUCCUUAACUCAAUAAUCUUUAUUAUGAUUGGGUCCAAUGAUUGCAAUUCAUCUUGACACUUCCGAAGCAGAAAACAAAAAAAAAUCAAAUUUCACCGGUUAAUUACAUGUCAACACAUAUAAUCCAUGAUAUCUUUGUCUUGAAGAUUAAAUAAGAUAAACUAAAUCACAAAGAAAAUAAACGAGUAAACAUAAUCUAGAAAUUCCAAAUUACAUUAUCUAACAAAAAUUCAAUAAGAAAUAAAUGGCUGCAUUUCAUUCUGUAGGGAUUUGCUCUUAUAUCUACCAACAAUAGCUUGAUGAUAAUAAGCUGAAAAAGAAAAGGAGUCCAAGGGAAUUGAAGAUUCUAAAUUCAGCUAGCUUAAUUGAUUCAAUAUUUCAAAUACACUUAAUUAAUACAAAUGAUAUUUAUCAAUAAAUCUAAAAUUUGCAUCCCUCAUUUGCAACCUACCUUCUAAAAACUGCCAGAAUGAAAUUAAACUAUCUUAUUUCAAUUCUCUUCAAAUUUAAGUUUACAACUUCUCUUUUUGGGUUUCCAUUUGUUUCUACUUUUAAAGCAAACAUUGAUUCAAGAAAUAUUUAUUUCAUUUGGCUUAUUUUCUUUUCUAUUUUUAUGCUACUCAGAUUCGAUGAAAAUAUUGAACAUAAUAUGUUUGCAAGUUAAAUGUCCGAGUCUUGAAAAAUAUAAGAUCGAAACGGAAGAAAUAUCCUAAAACCGAUGCUUAAAGAUUUAUAAAAUUUAGUAUAAUCAUGUUGUUUUCAUUAUUAUAAAACUCAAUGUUAAAAUGUUUAUGAUUCGAAUUAUGAUACGAGAGAAAAAUAGCUAACUAUUUUAACUUCAAGGAGUGAGAAAAUCUCAAUAUCUAAGAUAUGAAUGUUGUAAGGUACCACUCAAUCACAGCCACAUUUGUUAGUAUGGCUACUUUGGAUGAAAAGUUCUAUUCCAAGUUAUAUAUACACACAGAAAUACACAUGAAGUGGAUUAAUGGUGUAUUAUUUAAGUAAAGGAAAACGGUUCUGACUAAAAGAAAGAGUUGAAAUCUUGAACCUCCAAAUAUUGGGUAACCGCUGGUGUUAAAAAGUGCAUAAAGGUCCGCGCUUAUCUACAAGAAACAAUGGAGGAAUCACAUACGCUGUUUAUAUUCUUUUUUUUUUGCACCACAAGCAAUCCGAAACCAUAAACAAAGGAAUACUUUUUUGCCUUUUUUAAAUGGUUUUCUUCUUUCUUUUCCGCCUUUUAAAUUCUUCAUUCAAUUCAAGUUCAAGAAACCAUACUAAAUAUAUAUAUAUAUAUGUUUAUAUUCGCUUUUCUUGCUACACAAGCAAGCCAAAACCAUAAACAAAGCAUGCAUUUUUUUUCCUUUUUUUAAUGGUUUUCUUGAUUCUUUGUUGUUUUUAAAAUUCUUCAUUCAAUUCAAGUUCAAGAAACCAUAUUAAAAAAUAUAUUUAUAUUCGCUUUUUUUGCUACACAAGCAAGCUGAAACCAUAAACAAAGGCAUACCUUUUUCUCCUUUUUUAAAUGGCUUUUUUUUUUGUUUCUUUGUUGUUUUUUAGAUUCUUCGUUCAGUUCAAGUUCAAGAAACCAUACUAAAUAUAUGUGUUUAUAUUCACUUUUCUUGCUACAUAAGCAAGCCGAAACCAUAAACAAAGGCAAACCUUUUUUUUCCCUUUUUAUCUUGCUGCUUUUUAGAUUUUUUAUUCAAUUCCUAAGUUUAAGAAACCAUACUAUAUAUAUAUAUAUAUGUGUUUAUAUUCACUUUUCUUGCUACACAAGUCAACCGAAACCAUAAACAAAGGCAUAACUUUUUCGUUUUUUUUAAAAUGAUUUUUUGCUUUGCUACUUUUUUAAAUUUUUAUUCAAUUUAAGUUUAAAAAACCCUACUAUAUAUAUACACAUCUAGAGAGACAUCAUCAUCCUCAAGGAGUCAGUGAUUAAGCAUGAACUUGAUGGGAAGGCCACAAGUCGGUGAUGGUCAAAUCAUGAGUUGAUUAUGAUUAGUUUCAUAUUAUGGAAAAAAGAUGCUAGUUAAAAUUAGUUAGUUGACCGCUGCAUUUUGAGGUUGAGAGUUUAGUGAAACGAUACGUUUUGAUGUUUAAUGAAAACGGUGCGUAUUGAAAGUUUGAUACAACUAGUCGAGUAACAAGCGUGUAACAAACUUUGUAACUACCAAUUCUGAAGGCUUACAGGAACUGCCAACUUUUAAUUUUAUUUGUAAUCCUCACUUUAAAAAAAUAUUCCAAAUAUGCUUCCUCACCUUAUCAUUUUUGUUAUUUUUCAAGUGCCCUUACCAUUUUAUAUUUUUAAUGGGUAUAUUAUAAAAAUAGUCACCUAGUUAUUGCUUUCAUUCUAUUUUAUUCACUAAAUUAUUAAUUUUUUCGAUUUAAUUACUAAAUUUUUUUAAAUUAAAUAUUUUGAUCACUCUCCCAUUAAUUAUCAUUAGAUAAGUGAUAGGAAGUUAAUGUGAGCUUUUUUUAUUAGUCUAAUAAUAAAUUUAAUCAUCUAAUGUUUACACAUUCUAUUAAAUUGAUUUUAAAUAUAAAAUGUUCAAUAGAUUUAAACCUAAAUGUUUACAAAAUCUAUUGUUAUAGUUCAAAUCCUAAAAAUUUCAAUAAAUUUAAUCCUCAAAAUUUAUAAAUUUAAUUUUAAUUCUAACUCAUGGAUGAAUUAAGCAAAUUAAAUCAAAUCAAAUCAAUAGAACAAGGAAUUUAAUUAAAAAGAAAUUCUUCACAUGCAUCAAGGAGGGACUUCCUCUGGUGGUAUCAAGGGGAUUGAUAGAAACAGCUCAGGCUCGAACAAGAACUUCAUUGGGCUUAAGAUCUGGAACAGACACAUCGGAUCAAAGCUGCAACACCUCAGGUCCACCGAACCGAGCCAGCAAUACCGCACUGCAACUGUUGACAUAGCACCGAAUUGAACCCACUUUCAAUGAUAUGAUAACUCCAUAAAGGGUUUGGGUUUUAAGCUUUGAAAGUUCCCCUUUUUCUUCUCAAAUUUUCUGAACUUCAGCUCCUUCCUUUUGUUAAAUGAAGGAAAAGCAAAGGAGAGACACCGAAGUGUUUUAAUCCACAUAGAAAAUAGUGAUUGUGACUUGUGAGUGUUGGCCUGGGGGCUUGGAAGAAGAAGAUGAAUAUUGCAUAAUCGAUUUUUAAUUGCUUAUUACAUUCAUAAUUAAAUAAAUAAACAUUUCUAACCUUAUCAAUUAAAUCAAGUUAGAAUGUUCAACUUGAUUUUUGUUUGUUAUAAGGAUCAUAUAUUAUAAAAUUUAAUUUAAUUUUAAUAAUUAUAUAAUACUAUUUUUAAUUAUAUCAUCUGAUACCAUCUUGAGGGCUAAAUUUAGAAUUAAAAUUAAAUUGACAAAUUUUAGAAAUUUUGAGCUUAAAUUUAUUUUUAUUUUUAGGAAUUUGAAAUAAAAUGAGAAAUUUUGUAAAUAUUGAGAAUUAAAUUUGUUGGAAAUUUUAUAUUUAGAAUCAAAUGGUAGAAUGUCUAAACAUUAGGGGGCUAAAUUUAUUAUUAGACCAAUAAAAAACAAGUUCAUAUCAAUUUCCCGUCACUCAUCUAAUUGCAACUAAUGAGGAAGUGAUCAAAAUAUUUAACUUCUAAAAAUUUAAUGACUAAAUAAAAAAAUUAACAUUUAAGUGAUCAAAAUAGAAUGAAAUCAAUAAUUUGAUGAGCAUUUUUGUACUGUACCCUAUCUUAAUCCAUCUCAGAACAAAAUUUCUCCGCCUUUGCCUAAUUUCUGUGUCUUUGUCAAAUUUUAAUAGAAUUAACAUUUUUAUUUAAAAAAUAUCUUUAAUCGUUUAAUAUAUUUUUAAUAAGUAAAUGUUAAUUCCGUUAAGGGUCAGUUUGUUUACACGUAAAAAGUUAAAAAUAAAAGUUUGUUUACACGUAAAAAGUUAAAAAUAAAAAUAUUGAGUUCUAUAAUAUGAGUCUAUUGAACCGAUUCAAUCAUAAAUAUUAUUAUUAUUGGUUUAUAUAAUGGUUUGAUUUUGAAAAUAUUUGGUUUAACAUUUAGUCAUCCCUUUGAUCAAUUUUAAAUUUUAGAAAUAAUUUUGUUUUUUGUUUACAUUUAAAUGUACAGUUUCUAAUGCAUAUGUGUUACAUUUGAUUUCAAGCCAUUAAUCCUUAAUUACUUUUUAAAAUAAUACUUUCUUUUAAUUUUUAAAUAAUGUAUAAAUUUAUAAUUAUAUAAGAAAGUAAACUAUAAUAUUAAAUUUUUAAAAAUUAAGUAAAACAACAUGCAAUAAUUUUCAUAAUAAUUAAUGAUAAAUAAGAAAAAUAUUCACAAUUAUAAAACAAACCGUUUAAGAGUAUAUAAACUACUUAUACAAAAUUCUUUUAAAUUAAAGAUGAAAUUAUAUAUAUAUAAAUAACAAAUGAAAUUAUAUAUACAAAUUUAUAAGUGAAAAAUAUACAUAAUUAUAUUCAUAAAAAGUACAUAUGACAAUAUACAAACAAGGCUAUAAAGUAAUUCAUAGGAACAUGGCUUUCUUGUUUGUAUUCUCAUUCGAUUAUGAAUAUACCUUUCUUGUUAGUAUUCUCAUUAUUUUUUUAACAUACCUUUCUUGCUUGUAUUCUCAUUCUAUUAUGAAUAUACCUUUCUUGUUCGUAUUCUCAUUAUUUUUUUGCUUGCAAUUGUUUUUAUAAUUAAGUACUGGUUCUUGCAAUUGUUUUCCCAGCAAGAUUGCGGCACUCACAUCUUGAAAUUCAAAUUCCAGAUUUUAAAGAAUUUUCUGAGCUCGAUCGCUAUUAUGGCUUGGUUUGCUGUGACAUCUGCAGUGACAACAAUUGGCAACCUGCUAACUCAGGAAGCCAUAUACCUAUGGGGCGUGGAGGAGCAAGUUGAUCGUCUGCAAACAGAGCUCAAAUGGAUGCAAAGCUCCUUAAUGGUGGCAGAGACAAAACAAUCAACGGAUGAGAGGAUUCGUCUUUGGGUUGCUGAAAUCAGAGAGCUUGCUUAUGAUGCUGAGGAUAUUGUUGAGGAAUUUGCUCUCAAGAUUGGAUCCAAAAACAAAAGUGGCCUUCCGAGUUGUAUUAAAAGAUCAGCCUGCUGUUUGAAAGAGGGAUGGGUGCUCCAUGAAACCAGGUCAAAGAUCGAGAAAAUCAUAGAAAGAAUCAGCGACUUGGUCCGAUGACUACAGGCCUACGGCGUAAAGGAAUUAAAUCCCAGAGGAGAAGGAUCAAGUUUUUCAACUGAAAUACGAGAAUCAAGGCGGCCUUAUCCACAUAUUAUGGAUGAUAAUAUUGUUGGACUAGUUGAUGAUACCAAGGGAUUGGUCGAAGUUCUUACGAAGGAAAGUGGAUGCAAGGUUGUUACAAUAUGGGGCAUGGGUGGUCUGGGAAAGACCACUCUCGCCAAGAAAAUAUAUCACCAUCGUGAGGUUAUUGAUUAUUUCGAUCACUUGGCUUUUGUAUAUGUUUCUCAACCAUGCCGGAAAAGAAAUGUUUGGGAAGACAUUUUAUCUGGUUUCAAAACUUUAGAUAAAGAGGACAGGAAGAUAACAGAUGCAGAAUUAGCAGGGAAGUUGAGUAAAACUUUGAAGGAUAAAAAGUGUCUGGUGAUACUUGAUGAUGUUUGGACCAGUGAAGCUUGGGAUAGUCUAAAACCUGCCUUUCCAGUUGAUAGCAAAAGCAAGAUAUUGCUCACCUCUAGAAACAGGGGGAUAGUUCCAUAUGCUGACAUAAGAGGUAAAAUUUUCUUAAUUAGGUAAAAUUGAAAACUCUUAUUCCGUUUAUGGAAAAUAACAAUGUAUAUUAUUUCAGAGUUGAAGUGCCUAAACGAUCAACAAAGUUGGGAAUUGUUUCAAAAGAUUGUAUUUCCUCAAACAGGUAAAUAUAGAUAUAGCAAAAUUCUUUUUAUAUGCUAAAUUUAUUUUUCAUUUUUAAAUUUUUUUGACAAUAAUUAAAAUUAAAAAUAUAUAAAAUCUAUUUUAUUUAAAAAUUUCAAAACCUUAAUGUGAAAUAAAUAAAAGAAAUCAAGGCUUUGUAGUUUAUCAAUUAAUGGUACACGCACAUAAAUAUAAUUAAUAGGUAAAUUUAUUAUCUUUUAUAUUAUAAUUUUUUAAUAACUUCGCUAUUAUUUACCGGGAAUAAAUUAUAUUAGGAUUAUCUUAAAAAAAAAUAUAGUUUUUAGGCACUAAUAAAAUAGUGUCACAUCGUUAAUUUUUAAGAUAACAAAAAAUUGUUAUACACUCAUUUAUAUUUAAUAUUUUCUCUAACUUAAUUUAAUUUUAAUUAAAUUAUUUAAAAUAAUUAAUUUUUUAAAUUAUAAACAAACAUCUUCUCUUCUUUUACAAAUUUUAAUCAUUUUGUUUUUUUUCAUAAGUUAAUAUUUUUUAUUUUUGUACAACUUAAUAUUUUUUAUUUUUGUACAUCCAAUUUAAAAAAAAUAGUAAUUUUUGUGCAAUAAUUUUCAUGUCAUUGAUACAUAAUUUUGAUAAUUAUUUUAUCAUGAACCCAAAAUCCAGAACCUUGAACUCGAACCCUGAACCUAAACCUUGAAUCCCGAAUCUCGCAGUUCAAGGUUUGGAUUUGAGAUUUAAAGUUCAGAAUUUGAGGUUCAAGUUUAAAGUUUAAGGGUUCAGGGUAAAAAAAUUACCAAAAUUAUGUGUUAAUGACAUGGAAAAAAUUGUUGAAAUGUUAUUAAAUAAUCGAAAAUGGACAAUAAAUAAUGUGAUCAGAAAGGUCCAUAAAAUAAUUUCUCUAUGGAUGAGUGUAUAAUAAUAAUUCAUAUGUUUAAAAUUUGAUGAUGUGACAAAAAAAAUUUAAUUUUUAGGAUGAUCCUAAUGUUACUUUAUUGGACUAUAUGUUUGUUUAGUUAGGUUUUUUACCUAAAUAGGAUAAGAAAAAAAAACUACUGAAAUAGUGUGAUUUUUCAGUACAAUAAUUUUACUCUUUCACACGCUUCCGCGCAACAAUUGGUACCAGAGCCAGGUUCGUACUUGGCGAAUACGAUCGUUUACGAUACUAUUCACGUAUACAACACUAUUUACGUAUACGAUACUAUUCACAUAUACGGCACUAUUCACAUAUACAGUACUGUUCACGUAUACAGUAGUUGGGAUUGAGGAGAAAAAUGGCAGCAGCAUCGUCAUCAGCAAGGACUACUGUGACAAAUGCAAAAUUUGAAGUAGAGAAAUUUGACGGUACCAAUAAUUUUGGUAUGUGGCAAUGUGAGAUCCUGGAUGUCUUAUGUCAACAAGAGCUAGAUAUAGCCCUUGAAGAAAAACCUGACAAGAUGGAUGACAAGGAGUGAGCCAAGAUCAAUAGACAGGCGUGUGGUACAAUCCGCCUAUGUUUGGCCAAAGAGCAGAAGUACUCUGUCAUGAGGGAGACAUCAGCGAAGAAGUUAUGGGAUACACUGUAAGAAAAGUUUCUGACGAAAAGUCUUGAAAAUAGGCUUUAUAUGAAAAAGAAACUUUAUCGAUUCACGUAUGCACCCGGUAUGUCGAUGAAUGACCAUGUGAACUCAUUCAAUAAAAUUUUAGCAGACUUACUAAAUUUGGAUGAGAAAUUUGAAGAUGAAGACAAGGCAUUAUUGUUGUUGAAUUCCCUUCUUGAUGAAUAUGAUCAUCUUACCACCACAUUGCUUCAUGGGAAGGACACGAUCACAUUUGAUGCAGUUUGUAGUGCGUUGUAUAGAUCUGAGACUCGAAAGAAAGAUAAAAGAGAUCACAGAGAUACAACCGCAGAAGUCUUAACAGUAAGAGGUCGUUCACACAGCAGCAAAUCUAGUAGAAGGGGAAAGUCCAAAGGGAGACCCGCCAAAGAUGAAUGUGCCUUUUGCCGUAAAAAAGGGCAUUGGAAAAAGAAUUGUCCUAAGCUACAAAAGGGCAAGGCUAUUUCUAAUGCAUGUGUAGCGGAGCAUGAUGAGGAGUCAGACUUUAGCUUGGUUGGCAUGGCAAUGGCAUGUCAAACGGAUGAGUGGAUUUUGGAUUCAGGAUGUACUUACCAUAUGUGUCCUAAUAAGGACUGGUUUUCUAGUCUUAAAGAGCUAGAAGGUGGAAUUGUUCUUAUGGGCAAUGAUAGUGCUUGUAAGACAAUGGGAGUAGGUACAGUCCAAUUGAAGAAUCACGAAGGCUCAAUCCAAGUCUUGACAGAUGUUCGCUACGUACCUAGCCUGAAGAAAAAUCUCAUCUCAUUAGGUGCCCUAGAAUCUAAAGGGCUCACAAUCACUUUGAGAGAUGGAUUACUAAAAGUAGUAGCUGGGCAACUGACGGUGAUGAAAGGCACAAGAAGAAAUAACUUGUAUUUUUUAAAUGGAAGUACAGUUAUUGGAUCAACAUCAACAGUUUCUACAAAAGAUGUAGAUUCAGAGGCUACCAGAUUAUGGCAUAUGCGAUUGGGACAUGCUGGUGAAAAAGCUUUGCAGACAUUGGUGAAGCAAGGCUUAUUGAAAGGUGCAAAUUCUUGCAAAAUGGAAUUCUGUGAACAUUGUGUUCUGGGCAAGCAGAAGAGGGUAAAAUUUGGUCCAGCAAUUCACAAUACGAAAGGAAUUCUGGACUACGUUCACAGUGAUGUAUGGGGACCUACCAAAGUAGCUUCUUUGGGAGGUAUGCACUAUUUUGUUACUUUUGUUGAUGAUUAUUCAAGAAAAGUAUGGGUGUAUCUAAUGAAAAGAAAAAUUGAAGUUUUGGAUGCAUUUUUGAAAUGGAAGAAGAUGGUGGAGACUCAGACUGGUCGAAAGGUCAAACGACUUCGAUCAGAUAAUGGUACUGAGUACAAAAACGAUCCAUUUCUACAAGUAUGCCAAGAUGAGGGCAUUGUGCGAUACUUCACUGUUCGGGAUACACCACAGCAAAAUGGGGUGGCAGAACGAAUGAAUUGAACUAUACUGGAGAAAGUUCGAUGUAUGUUGUCCAAUGCUGGAUUGGGCAAAGAAUUUUGGGCUGAGGCAGUUACAUAUGGUGCCAUCUAAUUAACCGUUUGCCAUCAGCUGCAAUAAAUGGAAAAACUCCUAUGGAGAUGUGCUACUGAUUAUGAUUCUUUGCAUGUAUUUGGUUCCACUGCAUAUUAUCAUGUAAAAGAAUCUAAGUUAGACCCAAGAGCAAAGAAAGCAUUAUUCUUGGGUAUAACUGAUGGAGUAAAAGGAUAUCGUCUCUGGUGUCUUGAUACAAGGAAGAUUGUUUUCAGUAGAGAUGUGACUUUUGAUGAAUCAACUAUGUUGAAGUACAAGGAUUCACAAAAAGAUGACAAAACCAGUAGUACUUUGCAGCAGGUGGAGCUUGAAAAGGUUAACGAUGAUCCAGCUAAUAUUGAAGGGACAAAUGAUGAAGAGGUUCCUACCCAAGAACCUCUACAGCAACAAGAUUCAAUUGCAUAUAGAAGGCCAAGAAGAGAGAUUCGUAAGCCUGCUCGCUUUGAUGAUAUAGUGGCCUAUGCACUUCCAAUUACAGAUGAUGAUGUUCCUUCUACUUACACAGAAGUAAUAAGUAACCCUGAUGGUGUAAAGUGGAAGCAAGCAAUGAAUGAAGAAAUGCAGUCUCUUCAUAAAAAUAAGACCUGGGAGUUGGUGACACUACCCAAGGGAAAGAAGGCAAUUGGAUGCAAAUGGGUAUAUGCAAAGAAGGAAGGAUUUCCUGAUAAAAAUGAAAUUCGAUACAAGGCUAGAUUAGUAGCAAAGGGUUACGCUCAGAAAGAAGGAAUAGACUACAAUGAAGUGUUUUCUCCAGUUGUGAAGCAUUCGUCUAUUCGGAUUUUGCUAGCCUUGGUUGCGCAAUAUGAUCUUGAACUAGUUCAGCUUGAUGUGAAGACCACGUUUUUACACGGUGAUUUGGAAGAGGAAAUCUAUAUGACUCAGCCAGAUGGAUUCAAGGUUGCUGGAAAAGAAAAUUGGGUUUGCAAACUGACAAAGUCGCUUUAUGGAUUGAAGCAAUCUCCGAGGCAGUGGUACAAGCGAUUUGAUCAGUUCAUGAAAGGGAAAAGGUACGCAAGAAGUAAAUUUUGUUCAUUGCGUGUAUUUUCAGAAGCUACAAGAAGGAACUUUCAUAUACUUGCUCUUAUAUGUUGAUGAUAUGCUAAUAGCAUCUAAGAGCAAAGUUGAGAUUGAAAGAUUGAAGACUCAACUCAAUCUCGAGUUUGAGAUGAAAAAUCUAGGAGAAGCUAAAAAGAUUCUCGGCAUGGAAAUAUGGAGAGAUAGAGCUCAUGAUAGAGUUAGCUUGUCUCAGAAGAAGUAUUUGAAAAAGGUACUACAGCAGUUUGGCAUGAACGAGCAGACAAAACCUGUAAGUACCCCGUUGGCUUCUCAUUUCAAGCUUUCUGCACAACUAUCUCCUUCGACGAAUACGGAACGAGAAUACAUGUUGCAAGUUCCGUAUUCUAAUGCAGUGGGUAGCUUGAUGUAUGCAAUGGUGUGUACAAGACCCGACAUUUCACAGGCAGUUAGUAUAGUGAGCAGGUAUAUGCAUAAUCCUGGAAAAGGACAUUGGCAAGCUGUGAAAUGGAUUCUACGGUAUAUUCAGAAGACCGUGGAUGUUGGAUUACUGUUCAAGCAGGAUAAUACACUUGGUAAAGGUGUUAUUGGGUACGUUGAUUCUGACUAUGCCAGUGAUUUGGACAAGCGAAGAUCAACCACCGGUUAUGUGUUUACACUUGCUGGAGGACCAAUAAGUUGGAAGUCUACACUACAGUUUACAGUUGCAUUGUCAACCACAGAAGCCGAGUACAUGGCUGUAACAGAGGCUGUAAAGGAGGCUGUUUGGUUACAAGGUAUGGCUAAAACCUUGGGGUUGGUUCAGGAGCAUAUUAACGUGUAUUGUGAUAGUCAAAGUGCUAUUCAUUUAGCAAAGAAUCAAGUCUAUCAUGCACGUACAAAACAUAUCGACGUACGAUUCCAUUUUGUGCGGGAAAUUAUUGAAGAGGGGAAAAUUUGUCUUCAGAAGAUCAAGACUGCAGAUAAUCCCGCAGAUAUGAUGACCAAGGUGGUAACAGCAACCAAGUUCGAACAUUGUUUGAACUUGAUUAAUAUCCUGCAAGUUUAACAGUUGAAGAAGGAACUAUCAAGUAUUAUUGUCAAAAGCAGAAAGAAUUGUGUGAAGAUAAGAUUAUCGUAAUCAAAUCUUCAAGGUGGAGAUUAUUGGAACCCACCAUUGUUUGAAAAGUCAAAUGGGGUGGGCACCGAAAGUAGAAAGUAAUAUUGGUUGGCAAGUUGGGUUAAAAGUUGGCAUGGGAUAAUUGCAAUUUUGGUCCCUAAUUGUAUAGGGACAUUGCAAGUUGAUCCUUGAACCUCAACUAUAAAUAGGCCUAACCAUUGCUUACUUUCUUCAUCCCAUGAUUGCCAUUCUCUACUUAAGGCAUUAUUCUCUCUCUCUAUUUGUAAAUUUCACUUGUAAUUUUUGGAGUGAAAUAUAUUUGGUAGUGCCCGAGGACGUAGGCAAAAUUUGCUGAACCUCGUUAAAAUUCUGGUGUUCUUUAUUAUUUGUUUUGCAUAUUUUGUGAAUGUGAUUGUAGUGAUUUAUUGUGCUAUUAAAUUACGAUAGAGGGAUAUUCUGGCUAGGAAAGACUUGGUAUUUAAGUGAUCUUCGUGAUCUACCUCUCUUUCUUGGGAAUUGAACUUAGUGUGAUUUUUCAGUACAAUAAUUUUACUCUUUCACACGUUUCCGCACAACAAUAAUUACAUUUAUUAAAAGUCAAAGGAAGUCAUCUUUUUAGUUUUGCUUUUCAGGUAAAGACGCCAUUUUUUCACCUGCUACUAUAAUGGCGUGUGAAAGUGUGUUAUAUGGUGAGAUUUGGAAUUAUCUUCUCUCUUGUAUAUAUCUAUGGUUGUUGACUGUUUGUUGUUUUCUUCAAAUUACAAUAAAACGGUUGCAAGAUAAGGUAUUGGAAGAAUGGGAGGUGUCUGGAUUAGCAAGGUACCAAACCCCUCCUCCAUUUCUAUUUCCUUCAAUCUAAUUUAAUUACACAUUCAUUUUUGUCUUUUAAAACAUAAAAUUGCAGAUAAGGAGACGACACUGACCUUUGUUCCCACAUACCUUUGGUUUUCGGUGACCAUUCCUAUAUUUAUUUGUUAGCUUUGCUUUCUCUUUCUUUUUUUCCCUUAAGUCUGCUUGAGUCUUUUUCUUUUGUUAUAUGUACUUAAUGUAAUAUUAGAAGCCAAGGCAGGACCAUGCUUUUCUAUUGUAAAAUUCAUCACUUCGUUAUUUUAUAUUUGUAUGUUGACACAUUUCCCGUUUCAACAUAUUUCCUUAUUUUAUGCAAGUCGAUUGGUAUUCAUCAUAAAAAUUACGAUAUCAUAUCGAGUUUAAUGGUUACACUUCCAAAACAAAAAAUAGGAAAAAUUAAAUCUUACCAACUAAUAACACUUUCAAAUUACAUUGUCUUACAAAAAAAAAAAAAGAAGAAGAAGAUACAAUUUGAAUUUUUUUAUCAAAUGGUUUAGCAAGCUAUGCUUUAUAAAAGAGGCAAAGGAAUCCAAGGGAAUCAAAGAUUCCAAAAUCGAUAUUUAGAUUCAAGAUUUUGUAUCUGUUGCGCGGAAGCGUGUGAAAGAGUAAAAUUAUUGUACUGAAAAAUCACACUAAGUUCAAUUCCCAGGAAAGAGAGGUGGAUCACGAGGAUCGCUUACAUACCAGAUCUUUCCUAGCCAGAAUAUCCCUCUAUCGUAAUUUAAUAGCACAAUAAAUCACUACAAUGACACUUGCAAAAUAUGCAGAACAAAAAAUAAAGAACACUAGAAUUUUAACGAGGUUCAGCAAAUUUUGCCUACGUCCUCGGGCACUACCAAAUAUAUUUCACUCCAAAAAUACAAGUGAAAAUUUACAAAUAGGGAGAGAGAACAAUUGCCUUAAGUAGAGAAUGGCAAGUGUGGGAUGAAGAAAGUAAGAAAUGGUUAGGCCUAUUUAUAGUUGAGGUUUAAGGAUCAACUUGCAAUGUCCCUAUACAAUUAGGGACCAAAAUUGCAAUUAUCCCAUGCCAACUUUUAACCCAACUUGCCAACCAAUCUUACUUUCUACUUUCGGUGCCUAACCUUUUUGACUUUUCAAACAAUGUGGGUGGGUUCCAAUAAUCUCCACCUUGAAGAUUUGAUUAGGAUAAUCUUAUCUUCACACAAUUCUUUCUGCCUUUGACAACAAUACUUGAUAGUGCCUUCUUCAACUGUUAAACUUGCAGGAUAUUAAUCAAGUUCAAACAAUGUUUGAACUUGGUUGCUGUUACCACCUUGGUCAUCAUAUCUGCGGGAUUAUCUGCAGUCUUGAUCUUCUGAAGACAAAUUUUCCCCUCUUCAAUAAUUUCCCGCACAAAAUGGAAUCGUACGUCGAUAUGUUUUGUACGUGCAUGAUAGACUUGAUUCUUUGCUAAAUAAAUAGCACUUUGACUAUCACAAUACACGUUAAUAUGCUCCUGAACCAACCCCAAGGUUUUAGCCAUACCUUGUAACCAAAUAGCCUCCUUUACAGCCUCUGUUACAGCCAUGUACUCGGCUUCUGUGGUUGACAAUGCAACUGUAGACUGUAGUGUAGACUUCCAACUUAUUGGUCCUCCAGCAAGUGUAAACACAUAACCGGUGGUUGAUCUUCGCUUGUCCAAAUCACCGGCAUAGUCAGAAUCAACGUACCCAAUAACACCUUUACCAAGUGUAUUAUCCUGCUUGAACAGUAAUCCAACAUCCACGGUCUUCUGAAUAUACCGUAGAAUCCAUUUCACAGCUUGCCAAUGUCCUUUUCCAGGAUUAUGCAUAUACCUGCUCACUAUACUAACUGCCUGUGAAAUGUCGGGUCUUGUACACACCAUUGCAUACAUCAAGCUACCCACUGCAUUAGAAUACGGAACUUGCAACAUGUAUUCUCGUUCCGUAUUCGUCGAAGGAGAUAGUUGUGCAGAAAGCUUGAAAUCAGAAGCCAACAGGGUACUUACAGGUUUUGUCUGCUCGUUCAUGCCAAACUGCUGUAGUACCUUUUUCAAAUACUGCUUCUGAGACAAGCCAACUCUAUCAUGAGCUCUAUCUCUCCCUAUUUCCAUGCCGAGAAUCUUUUUAGCUUCUCCUAGAUCUUUCAUCUCAAACUCGAGAUUGAGUUGAGUCUUCAAUCUUUCAAUCUCAACUUUGCUCUUAGAUGCUAUUAGCAUAUCAUCAACAUAUAAGAGCAAGUAUAUGAAAGUUCCUUCUUGUAGCUUCUGAAAAUACACACAAUGAUCAAAUUUACUUCUUGUGUACCUUUGCCCUUUCAUGAACUGAUCAAAUCACUUGUACCACUGCCUCGGAGAUUGCUUCAAUCCAUAAAGCGACUUUGUCAGUUUGCAAACCCAAUUUUCUUUUCCAGCAACAUUGAAUCCAUCUGGUUGAGUCAUAUAGAUUUCCUCUUCCAAAUCACCGUGUAAAAACGCGAUCUUCACAUCAAGCUGAACUAGUUCAAGAUCAUAUUGCGCAACCAAGGCUAGCAAAAUCUGAAUAGAUGAAUGCUUCACAACUGGAGAAAACACUUCAUUGUAGUCUAUUCCUUCUUUCUGAGCGUAACCCUUUGCUACUAAUCUAGCCUUGUAUCGAAUUUCAUUUUUAUCAGGAAAUCCUUCCUUCUUUGCAUAUACCCAUUUGCAUCCAAUUGCCUUCUUUCCCUUGGGUAGUGUCACCAACUCCCAGGUCUUAUUUUUAUGAAGAGACUGCAUUUCUUCAUUCAUUGCUUGCUUCCACUUUACACCAUCAGGGUUACUUAUUACUUCUGUGUAAGUAGAAGGAACAUCAUCAUCUGUAAUUGGAAGUGCAUAGGCCACUAUAUCAUCAAAGCGAGCAGGCUUACGAAUCUCUCUUCUUGGCCUUCUAUAUGCAAUUGAAUCUUGUUGCUGUAGAGGUUCUUGGGUAGGAACCUCUUCAUCAUUUGUCCCUUCAAUAUUAGCUGGAUCAUCGUUAACCUUUUCAAGCUCCACCUGCUGCAAAGUACUACUGGUUUUGUCAUCCUUUUGUGAAUCCUUGUACUUCAACAUGGUUGAUUCAUCAAAAGUCACAUCUCUACUGAAAACAAUCUUCCUUGUAUCAGGACACCAGAGACGAUAUCCUUUUACUCCAUCAGUUAUACCCAAGAAUAAUGCUUUCUUUGCUCUUGGGUCUAACUUAGAUUCUUUUACAUGAUAAUAUGCAGUGGAACCAAAUACAUGCAAAGAAUCAUAAUCAGUAGCACAUCUCCAUAGGAGUUUUUCCAUUUAUUGCAGCUGAUGGCAAACGGUUAAUUAGAUGUCACGCAUAUGUAACUGCCUCAGCCCAAAAUUCUUUGCCCAAUCCAGCAUUGGACAACAUACAUCAAACUUUCUCCAGUAUAGUUCGAUUCAUUCGUUCUGCCACCCCAUUUUGCUGUGGUGUAUCCCGAACAGUGAAGUGUCGCACAGUGCCCUCAUCUUGGCAUACUUGUAGAAAUGGAUCGUUUUUGUACUCAGUACCAUUAUCUGAUCGAAGUCGUUUGACCUUUCGACCAGUCUGAGUCUCCACCAUCUUCUUCCAUUUCAGAAAUGCAUCCAAAACUUCAAUUUUUCUUUUCAUUAGAUACACCCAUACUUUUCUUGAAUAAUCAUCAACAAAAGUAACAAAAUAGUGCAUACCUCCCAAAGAAGCUACUUUGGUAGGUCCCCACACAUCACUGUGAACGUAGUCCAGAAUUCCUUUCGUAUUGUGAAUUGCUGGACCAAAUUUUACCCUCUUCUGCUUGCCCAGAACACAAUGUUCACAGAAUUCCAUUUUGCAAGAAUUUGCACCUUUCAAUAAGCCUUGCUUCACCAAUGUCUGCAAAGCUUUUUCACCAGCAUGUCCCAAUCGCAUAUGCCAUAAUCUGGUAGCCUCUGAAUCUACAUCUUUUGUAGAAACUGUUGAUGUUGAUCCAAUAACUGUACUUCCAUUUAAAAAAUACAAGUUAUUUCUUCUUGUGCCUUUCAUCACCGUCAGUUGCCCAGCUACUACUUUUAGUAAUCCAUCUCUCAAAGUGAUUGUGAGCCCUUUAGAUUCUAGGGCACCUAAUGAGAUGAGAUUUUCUUCAGGCUAGGUACGUAGCGAACAUCUGUCAAGACUUGGAUUGAGCCGUCGUGAUUCUUCAAUUGGACUGUACCCACUCCCAUUGUCUUACAAGCACUAUCAUUGCCCAUAAGAACAAUUCCACCUUCUAGCUCUUUAAGACUAGAAAACCAGUCCUUAUUAGGACACAUAUGGUAAGUACAUCCUGAAUCCAAAAUCCACUCAUCCGUUUGACAUGCCAUUGCCAUGCCAACCAAGCUAAAGUCUGACUCCUCAUCAUGCUCCGCUACACAUGCAUUAGAAAUAGCCUUGCCCUUUUGUAGCUUAGGACAAUUCUUUUUCCAAUGCACUUUUUCACGGCAAAAGGCACAUUCAUCUUUGGCGGGUCUCCCUUUGGACUUUCCCCUUCUACCAGAUUUGCUGCUGUGUGAACGACCUCUUACUGUUAAGACUUCUGCGGUUGUAUCUCUGUGAUCUCUUUUAUCUUUCUUUCGAGUCUCAGAUCUAUACAACGCACUACAGACUGCAUCAAAUGUGAUCGUGUCCUUCCCAUGAAGCAAUGUGGUGGUAAGAUGAUCAUAUUCAUCAGGAAGGGAAUUCAACAACAAUAAUGCCUUGUCUUCAUCUUCAAAUUUCUCAUCCAAAUUUAGCAAGUCUGCUAAAAUUUUAUUGAAUGAGUUCACAUGGUCAUUCAUCGACAUACCGGGUGCAUACGUGAAUCGAUAAAGUUUCUUUUUCAUAUAAAGCCUAUUUUCAAGACUUUUCGUUAGAAACUUUUCUUCCAGUGUAUCCCAUAACUUCUUCGCUGAUGUCUCCCUCAUGACAGAGUACUUCUGCUCUUUGGCCAAACAUAGGCGGAUUGUACCACACGCCUGUCUAUUGAUCUUGGCCCACUCCUUGUCAUCCAUCUUGUCAGGUUUUUCUUCAAGGGCUAUAUCUAGCUCUUGCUGACAUAAGACAUCCAGGAUCUCACAUUGCCACAUACCAAAAUUAUUGGUACCGUCAAAUUUCUCUACUUCAAAUUUUGCAUUUGUCACAGUAGUCCUUGCUGAUGACGAUGCUGCUGCCAUUUUUCUCCUCAAUCCCAACUACUGUAUACGUGAAUAGUACCGUAUACGUGAAUAGUGCCAUACACGUGAAUAGUACCAUAUACAUAAAUAGUGCCGUAUACGUGAAUAGUACCGUAAACGGUCGUAUUCCCCAAGUACAAACCUGGCUCUGGUACCAAUUGUUGCGCGGAAGCGUGUGAAAGAGUAAAAUUAUUGUACUGAAAAAUCACACUAAGUUCAAUUCCCAGGAAAGAGAGGUGGAUCACGAGGAUCGCUUACAUACCAGAUCUUUCCUAGCUAGAAUAUCCCUCCAUCGUAAUUUAAUAGCACAAUAAAUCACUACAAUGACACUUGCAAAAUAUGCAGAACAAAAAAUAAAGAACACUAGAAUUUUAACGAGGUUCAGCAAAUUUUGCCUACGUCCUCGGGCACUACCAAAUAUAUUUCACUCCAAAAAUACAAGUGAAAGUUUACAAAUAGGGAGAGAGAACAAUUUCCUUAAGUAGUGAAUGGCAAGUGUGGGAUGAAGAAAGUAAGAAAUGGUUAGGCCUAUUUAUAGUUGAGGUUUAAGGAUCAACUUGCAAUGUCCCUAUACAAUUAGGGACCAAAAUUGCAAUUAUCCCAUGCCAACUUUUAACCCAACUUGCCAACCAAUCUUACUUUCUACUUUCGGUGCCCAACCUUUUUGACUUUUCAAACAAUGUGGGUGGGUUCCAAUAGUAUCCCCAUGCUUUGCUUCUUAUAUCUACCAACAAUAUCUUGAUGAUAACAAACUAAAAAAAACUAUUCAAGGGAAUCGAAGAUUUCAAAUCCAACAUAAACGAUUGAAAAUUUCACAUCCACUUAAUUAAUUCAAAUGAUAUUUAUUCAAUAAGUUUAAAUUAAAAACUGCAAGAAUCUUCAUUUAUCUUUUAUUCGAAAUGUAAUUCGGAUUCAAUGAAAAUAUUGAACAUAUAAUGUGUGCACAUGGAAAUGUCCAAAUCUUUAAAUAUAGGGUCGACAUGGGAGAAAUCUCCUAAGACGUUGAAAUUAUUGAGUGCAUUUUCAGAGGAAAAUCCUGAAACAUGUUACAGGCAAAUAUUAAGAAAAACAAUGCACAAGCAUAAGUACAAAAACAUAGCAUGCAAGAAAUCAAUACUUGAAAGGAUUAAAAUCACUGCUAACCUAAGACAUUGAAUCUAGCACCACUAGGAAACAUCCGAAAUGAUACUUGUCUUUCAAUGUUGAGAUACAUAGGUCCAAGUCUGCUAUGUUGCGCCAAACUGGAAUUCAUCAACCUCUUGAGAACCUAAAGGAUGAAAAGUUCCAGUCCAAGUUAUAUAUAUAUAUAUAUAUAUAUAUACACACACACAGAUAGACAUGAAGAAAGUGGGUUAAUGGUGUAUUAUUUAAGUAAAGAAAAAGUUGAAAUCUCGAACCUCUAAAUAUUGGGUAACAGCUAGUGUUAAAAGUGCAUAAAGUUCUGCUAUUAUCUACAAGAAACAAUGGAGGAAUCACAUACAUUGUUUAUAUUCACUUUUCUUGCUACACAAGCAAGCUGAGUCCAUAAACAAAGGCAUACCUUUUCUCCGUUUUUAAAUGGUUUUAUUGUUUCUUGGCUGCUUUUUAUAUUAAGAAGAGAGAUUGUGAGACCUCGUCAUCCUCAAGGAGUAAGUGGUCAAGCAUGAAGAUGAUGGGAAGACCAUGAGUCGAUGGUGGUCAAUCCAUGAGUUGAUUAUGAGUAGUUUCAUGUUAUGAAAUAAAAAUGUUAGCUAAAGUUAGUUGAACGCUGUGUUUUAGGGUUGAGGGUUUAAUGAAACUAUCAGUUUUGAUGUUGAAUGAAAAUGGUGCGUAUUGACGGUUUGUUACAACUGCUCGAGGAACAGCCCUAUAACAGACUUUGUAACUGCCAAUUCUCAGCCAUAAUAGAAACUGGCAUGGGAAAUGGGCAGAUAUGCCAUUUUGUGAAGGAAAUCAAUUCUUUCUUCUUCCACGAUUCUCUUUCUCUUCUCUCUUUUUCUUUCUUCCUCUAUUCUGUUGAAAUUAUGCAUCACUUCACCAGCAUUCAUCAUUGUGGACGUAUCUGAUCUUCAGUCUCUGGUUUACUGCCCAUGUAAAGUUAUGGAAAGGAAUGCAAAUUUAAAAGGUUUUCUUGCUAUUGUCUAUGCAAUUUCAUGUGUGCGUGAAAGGAGAUGAAGAUUAAUAGAGUAAUACUGAUAUACCAACAAUUCAUUAAUUGAAGUACUAUCAAUAUUAUCAACAAGUAACAGGAUUAAGUGAGUAUACUAAUAUAGUCUAGAAAAACAAUUUAAUUAAUAAUACCAUAGGGAUGGCAAGAGGGUGAAGUUGCUAUUGCUAUUUAUAUCUCAGCUGCUAGCUUUUGACGACUUCACCAAGUAAACUGCAAUUACAAGUGUUGUUCUUAUUACCUGCAAAAACACAGCCAACAAUCUGAAUCCAUAUCCCCAUUUUAGGAACAAAUGCAUGGUGUACCAUUUGUUUCGAAGCCAAAUCAAUUUUCUUAAUUUUUCUUGAAGUAAAACCUUAUCUGACACUUAUAUUCAACACAUAUUCAUGUAUUGGUGUGAAGAUAUGACACUCUUAUCCUAUACUCAUAUCCGUGCUCAGGUAACAUAAGCUGAACCCGCAAGAUAACUGAUUUAACAUUGCAUUGCUGCUAGCUAUUGAUGAUUUCACCAAGUAAACUGCAACCACAAGUGUUGUUCUUAUUCCUUGCAAAAACACAGUCAACAAUCUGAAUCCACAUUCCCAUUUUCGGAACAAAACCAUGCCGUACCAUUUGUUUCAAAGCCCAAUCAACUUCCUUUACCAUCUUCCCCUUACAAAAACCAUGAAUCAACUUCUUGUAUGAAUCAAAACUAGGAUUAACCCUCUCGAAAGCCACAUUUGUUAGUAUGACUAUUUUGGGUAACCAAAGGAAAAAAAAAAUGUUAGCUGUUGAGCAAACAAGGUGAACAAAUUAGAUAUUCCAAUUACGUUCAAGCACUUGACAAAUCCUUUCUGCAAUGGCUUCAGCACACAUCCUAGGACCUUCAUCAUCUGCAAAAACCGACCAUUUCUAACAACUAAGCUAACAUCACACAUGAUAAUAUAUGUAUAUAACAUAUAUAGAAGAUGAGUAUGUGGAUUAAAAGCUAUGUUAGUUUGACUCAAUACAUGACCAUGGGACAUGCACGAUUCUUCAAUAAUGAUACGAAAAUAAUUGGAAGAAAAAUUAAAUACAUCAAUAUCUAACAUUUACAUCUGAGUAUGUUUAAUGGUACUCUUUCUUUAGCCAAAAUUUGGCUUCUUUUAGUAGCUAUUCUGACCCAUUUUUCUUUGACCAAAAUGCCCUUGAACAUGUCUUUUUAUUGGGGUUUUAGUUGGACAAGGAGUACCCCUGAUGUCAUUUUUGGUCCCCUCACGACAAUAUUGCAAUAACCAACACAGGGUAUCGUGAUAUCGUGGACUGUCUCAAAUGAGGGUCUUCCUUGGUAGCUGGGUAUCACGAUACCUAAGGGGAUAUCAUGAUACCACUAUAGGUGGUCUUCAUUUCAAGCUUGUGGGAGGUAUCGCUAUGUCCAUGUUGUGAUGUCGUGAUACCCCUUUCCUUAUGUUUUUGCACAAUUUCGGGUCACCGUCAAGUUCCUACAACACUUAAUUGAUCGUUAGGGUCCAAAUGGCACAUUUAUCAAUUUGAGUCUCAAAAUGAGCACAAAACACAUUAAACAUUUAUUAAAUCAAAAAUAAAAAUCUACGCUAAACUACGGAAACACACUAAUUUGCUUGAAAACAAGCUCUUUAAGUAUAAUGAGGAACCCUAAAUUGACAUAUCAAAUUACUGUAACUCAGUUGUCUUUUUGAUUCGAACCCACAACCUAAGUUGUUGAGUUGAUCACCCAAUGUCACUAGGCGAAGAGUUUGGGUUCUAUGUACUAACUUGAAGUUGAGGCAUAUUAUAAAGAAGAUUUCAAUUUGACAUGUUUAAUUUUUUUAAUUUAAAUCGAAUAAAUUUAUUUAACUCGACUUAAAUUUUAUUUUACUCAACUUGAUUAAAAAAAUUUCAAAUCAAGUUAAGAUGAUAAAAUAGGAUUCAUGAACUUGAUGUAGUCGAAUUUUUUUUUACUAGAUUCGAUCAAACGCUCAACCCGUUAGGUGAGAUGAUGUUUAGGGAUUUGAUUUGUAAAAUCAUUUUUUUCUCAAUCAUUCCUCAUAAUAUAGAAAAUAAUAAGUUAAGUUAUGCCAUUAGUCCUUGUACUUUACAAAAAGUUGUGGAUAUAAUCUAUAUACUUUAGUUUGGUCAUUUUUAAUAAAUGUACUUUUCAAAUUUGAAAAUUUCAAUCCUCACCAAACGAUAACUGUUAAAUUCAUUAAGUUAAGCUUUGUUAUUUUCAAAAUAUUACAUGACAAACAAAUUAUUAUAUGUGUAAUGCCAUGUCAACUUGUUAUUUUGACAUAUUACUCACCAAAAUUUCACUUAAUGGAUUAACGACUUUCAUUCAUGUGGAGACUAAAAUUUCAAAAUUCAAAAGUAGAGGGACUUAAAAUGAUCUAAUUGGAGAAAAUAGACUAAAUCUAUAACUAUACUCAUAGUAUAAGACUAGUAAUUGAAUUUAUCCAAAUAAAUUUAAUUGCUACAGUUUGGGUUAAAACUAAAAUUUCAAAAUUAAAAAAAAAUACAGAAAUUGAAGUUGAUAAAUUCAAAAAAAUAUACAUAUUAAAAUUGAUCAAAUUAAAAGUAAACUGACUAACCUUAAUUUUUCUGAUAAUCUUUCUUUUCCCUUAAUUAAAUGACCAUGAUGUAUACUAUAUAUCUUAGUAUAUAAAUAUUUUAAAAAUAAAUAAAUAUAUGUAUGUUGGACACAUAUUCAAGUUUGAUAUUCGUCUUAAAUAUAUGUAUGUUGGACACGUAAUCUUUUUCAUUGUUUAAUAUCCUAAUCCUUAAUUAAUUUAAUAAUAUUUGUUACGAUAGGGUCUAAUGGCUGCAAUUUAUCUUGACACUUUCGAAGCAAAAAAUAAAAAAUAAAAAAAUCAAAUUUCACCGAUUAAUUACAUGCCAACACAUAUAACCCACGAUAUGUUUAUCUCAAAGAUUUAAAUAAGAUAAACUAAAUCACAAAGAAAACAAACGAGUAAACAUAAUCUAGAAAUUCCAAAUUUACAUUAUCUAACAGAAAUUCAAUAAGAAAUAAAAGGUUGCAUUUCAUUCUUUAGGGAUUUGCUCUUAUAUCUUCCAACAAUAGCUUGAUGAUAAUAAGCUGAAAAAGAAAAGGAGUCCAAGGGAAUUGAAGAUUCUUAAUUCAGCUAGCUUAAUUGAUUGAAUACUUCAAAUACACUUAAUUAAUACCAAUGAUAUUUAUCAAUAAAUCUAAAAUUUGCAUCCUACUUUGUAAAAACUGCCAGAAUGAAAUCAAAUUAUCUGAUUUCAAUUCUCUUCAAAUUUUAGUUUACAACUUCUAUUUUUGGGUUUCCAUUUGUUUCAACUUUUAAAGCAAGCAUUGAUUCAAGAAAUAUUUAUUUCAUUUGACUUAUUUGCUUUUCUAAUUUUAUGUUAUUCAGAUUCGAUGAAAAUAUUGAACAUAAUAUGUGUGCAAGUCAAGAUGUCCGAGUCUUACAAUGUAAGGUUGAAACGGGAGAAAUAUCCUAAAAGCUGAUGCUAAAAGAUUUAUAAAAUUCAGUAUAAUCAUUUUGUUUUCAUUAUAAAACUCAAUGUUAAAAUGUCUAUGAUUCGAGAUUAUGAUACAAGAGAAAAAUAGCUAACUAUUUUAAGUUCAAGGUGUGAGAAAAUCUCAAUAGCUAAGAUAUGAAUGUUGUAAAAUACCACUCAAUCACACAGAAAUAUAUACACACAGAAAGACCACUCAAUCACAGCCACAUUUGUUAGUAUGACUACUUUGGAUGAAAAGUUCUAUUCCAAGUUAUAUAUACACACAGAAAUACACAUGAAGUGGAUUAAUGGUGUAUUAUUUAAGUCAAGAAAAAGGGUUCUAACUAAAAGAAAGAGUUGAAAUCUUGAACCUCUAAAUAUUGGGUAACCACUGGUGUUAAAAAGUGCAUAAAGGUCCGCGCUUAUCUACAAAAAAACAAUGGAGGAAUCACGUUCAUUGUUUAUAUUCAUUUUUUUUUUGCUCCACAAGCAAUCCAAAACCAUAAACAAAGGAAUACUUUUUUUCGCCUUUUUAAAUGGUUUUCUUGUUUCUUUUUCGCUUUUUAAAUUCUUCAUUCAAUUCAAGUUCAAGAAACCAUACUAAAUAUAUAUAUUUAUAUUUAUAUUCACUUUUCUUGCUACACAAGCAAGCCAAAAUCAUAAAUAAAGGCACGCUUUUUUUUCCCUUUUUUUAAUGAUUUUCUUGAUUCUUUGUUGUUUUUAAAAUUCUUCAUUCAAUUUAAGUUCAAUAAACCAUAUUAAAUAUAUAUAUUUAUAUUCACUUUUUUUUUGCUACACAAGCAAGCUGAAACCAUAAACAAAGGCAUACAUUUUUCUCCUUUUUUAAAUGGCUUUCUUGUUUCUUUGUUGUUGUUUUUUAAUUCUUUGCUCAAUUCAAGUUCAAGAACCCAUACUAAAUAUAUGUGUUUAUAUUCACUUUUCUUGCUACAUAAGUAAGCUGAAACCAUAAACAAAGGCAUACUUGUUUUCCUUUCUUACCGUGGCUACCUUUUAGAUUCUUUAUUCAAUUCAAGUUCAAGAAAUCAUACUAUAUAUAUAUAUUCACUUUUCUUGCUACACAAGUCAACCGAAACCAUAAACAAAGGCAUAACUUUUUCGCUUUUUUUAAAAUGAAUUUUUCUUUGCUGCUUUUUAAAAUUUUUAUUCAAUUUAAAUUCAAAAAACCCUACUAAAUAUAAAUAUAUAUAUAUAUAUUAAGAGAGAGACCUCAUCAUCCUCAAGCUUGAUGGGAAGGCCACAAGUCGGUGGUGGUCAAAUCAUGAGUUGAUUAUGAGUAGUUUCAUGUUAUGGAAAAAAGAUGUUAGUUAAAAUUAGUUAGUUGAGAGUUUAAUGAAACGAUACGUUUUGAUGUUUAAUGAAAACGGUGCGUAUUGAAAGUUUGAUACAACUACUCAAGUAACAAGCCUAUAAUAAACUUUGUAACUACCAAUUCUGAAGCAUUACAGGAACUGCCAACUUUUAAUUUUAUUUGUAAUCCUGGCUUUAAAAAAAAUAUUCCAAAUAUGCUUCCUCUCCCUAUCAUUUUUGUUAUUUUUCAAGUGCCCUUACCAUAAUAUUUUUUAAUGGGUAAAUUAUAAAAAUAGUCACUUAAUUAUUGCUUUCAUUCUAUUUUAAUCACUAAAUCGAUUUAGUUAUUAAAAUUUUCGAAAUUAAAUAUUUUAAUCACUCUCAGUUUUCGUUAGAUGAGUGAUAGGAAGUUAAUGUGAGCUGUUUUUAUUGGUCUAAUAACAAAUUUAAUCAUCUAAUGUUUACACAUUCUAUUAAUUUAAUUUUAAAUAUAAAAUGUUCAACAGAUUUAACCCUAAAUAUUUACAAAAUCUAUUGUUAUAGUUCGAAUCCUAAAAAUUUCAAUAAGUUUAGUCCUCAAAAUUUGUAAAUUUAAUUUUAAUUCCAAAAAUUUUAGAAAAAGGAAAGAUGUAUUUUAUGUCAUAUAAAAGAAAAUCUAGCUCCAUCCAACAUUUUAAAUUCUUUUCUUUUCUCUUCACAUUUUCAUGGCAACGAAAAAACCAAGUCAUGGAUGAAUUAAGCAAAUUAAUUAAAAUCAAAUAAAUCGAACAAGGAUUUUAAUUAAAAAGAAAUUCUUCACAUGCAUCAAGGAGGGACUUCCUCUGGUGGUAUCAAGGGGAUUGAUAGAAACAGCUCAGGCUCGAACAAGAACUUCAUUGGGCUUAAGAUCAGGAACAGACACAUCGGACCAAAGCUGCAACACCUCAGGUCCUCCGAACCGAGGCAGCAAUACCGCACUGUAACUGUUGACAUAGCACCGAAUUGAACCCACUUUCAACUAUAACUCCAUAAAGGGUUUAGGUUUUAAGCUUUGAAGUUCCCUUUUUUCUACUCAAAUUUACUGAAUUUCAGCUCCUUCCUUUUGUUAAAUGAAGGAAAAGCAGAGGAGAGACACGGAAGUGUUUUAAUCCACAUAGAAAAAAGUGAUUGUGUGACUUGUGAGUGGGCGCCUAUGGGGCGUGGAAGAAGAAGAUGAACAUUGCAUAAUCAAUUUUUAAUUGCUUAUUACAUUCAUAAUUUAAUAAAUAAAAAUUUCUAACCUUAUCUAUUAAAUCAAGUUAGAAUGUUCAACUUAAUUUUUGUUUGUUAUAAGUAUCACAUAUUAUAAAAAUUAAUUAUAUUUUAAUAAUUAUAUAAUAUUGAUUGAGUUAUUAUUUUUAAUUAUAUCAUCUGAUACCAUCUUGAGGACUAAAUUUAGAAUUAGAACUAAAUUGACAAAUUUCAGAAAUUUUGAGAUUAAAUUUAUUUUUAUUUUUAAGAAUUUGAACUAAAAUGAGAAAUUUUGUAAAUAUUGAGGAUUAAAUUUGUUGGAAAUUUUAUAUUUAGAAUCAAAUGGAUAGAAUGUCUAAACAUUAGGGGCCUAAAUUUGUUAUUAGACCAAUAAAAACAAGUUCAUACCAAUUUCCUGUAGCUCAUUUGCAACUAACGAGGAAAUGAUUAAAAUAUUUAAUUUCUAAAAAUUUAAUGACUAAAUAAAAAAAUUAAUAUUUAAGUAAUCAAAAUAGAAUGAAAUCAAUAAUUUGAUGACCAUUUUUGUACUGUACCCUAUCUUAAUCCAUCUCACAACCAAAUUUCUCCGUCUUUGCCUAAUUCCUUUGUCUUUGUCAAAUUUUAAUAAAAUUAACAUUUUUAUUUAAAAAAUAUCUUUAAUAGUUUAAUAUAUUUUUAAUAAGUAAAUGUUAAUUUCGUUAAGGGUCAGUUUGUUUACAUGUAAAAAGUUAAAAAUAAAAAUAUUGAGUUAUAUAAUAUGAGUCUAUUGAACCGAUUCAAUCAUAAAUUUUAUUAUUAUUGGUUUACAUAAUGGUUUGAUUUUGAAAAUAUUUGGUUUAACAUUUAGUCAUCCCUUUGAUCAAUUUUAAAUUUUAGAAAUAAUUUUGUUUUUUGUUUACAUUUAAAUGUACAGUUUCUAAUGCAUAUGUGUUACAUUUGAUUUCAAGACUUUAAUUCUUAAUUACUUUUUAAAAUAAUAGUUUCUUUUAGUUUUUAAAUAAUCUAUAAAUUUAUAAUUACAUAAGAAAAUAAACUAUAAUAUUAAUUUUUUAAAAAUUAAGUAAAACAACAUGCAAUAAUUUUUAUAAUAAUUAAGGAUAAAUAUGAAAAAUAUUCACAAUUAUAAAACAAAUGAAAUUAUAUAUACAAAUUUAUAAGUGAAAAAUAUACAUAAUUAUAUUCAUAAAAAAUACAAACAAGGUUAUAAAGUAAUUCAUAGGAAUAUAGCUUUCUUGUUUCUAUUCUCAUUCGAUUAUGAAUAUACCUUUCUUGUUAGUAUUCUCAUUCUAUUUUGAACAUACCUUUCUUGCUUGUAUUCUCAUUCUAUUGAUGAUUAAUGCUGCUUUCUAAUUUUUUAUAAAUUUAAUAGAACUAUUACUACCAGCACAAACUAUUAAGGUGUCAAAUGUCCCAUCACAAUUUAACUUUAACCCAACCUUCUGGUGGUUUCUCCCAAAUAUCAGCACAAGUAUUUGACUUCCUAGUUCGAUCAGAGUUAUUGUUUGAACAGAGGAUCCAUUGAGCAGAUAAGAAUUCAUUCAUGGAGAAAUUAAUCCUUCGAAUAAUUCUCUCCAAACCAAGUUUCACACCUCCAAUUGUAAGCUCACACCUAGCUUUGCAGAUGGGCUAGCAAGUGAAAACAAUUCUAACUUUGAAAUCCUCCCUCAUACAAGGCAUUUGUAACAACUUUGAGAACCAUCUGUCAAAGAUCAUUUAGCCCUUGAAGACCAAAACAAGCCUCAUACUAUAUUCCCCUAACCCAAUUACAACUAAGAAUAAUAUGUUCAAAGUCUCAUCUUCAAUACCACAUAAACAACAAAAUUGGGUUCGAAACACACUUUCUUUUCCACGGAUUAAAACGAGAUGGAAUGGCAUUAUGACACAAUUUCCAUAAGAAAAUUUUAACUUUCUUCGGUACCUGUAAGCUCCAAAUAGCUUUCCAAGUGAGAGCUGGAAGGUUGUAAAGAAGACUCAUUUCCAUAGUGCUUUCUCAACUCCUUGUACCCUGACUUCAUAGGAUAUUGACCAACAGCUGUAAACGGCCACACCAAUUUAUCUUGUUCAUCUGUUUCAUGAAGAGGAACUUUAAAUUUCGUAAUUUCAAUAUCUUCUAACCAUAUUGAGAUACUGGGUAAGUCCCAAUUUAGUUCUUCUAAACAAAUGAUCUCAGCAACUCUUGUUGGCGAGGAUCCGUUAAUAUUUCCAGGAUGCUUUAAUUUCCUAUCUUUUAACUCCCAGCAACCAUCUAUCUUCCCAAAUGCGGAUGCUUUCGCCAUUUAGCACUUGCCAAAUCAAAGUCUCCUUUCAAAAACUCUUUCCCUUCAAGAAUGCUACUCCACACCCAUGAUGACCUAGCUCCCUUUUUAGCUUCAAGGAAAUUAGAAUUCGGGAAAUAAAGUCCUUUUAAAAUCCUAGCCCAAAGAGCAUCAGCAUCCUGGACUAACUGUCAAGAUUGUUUUGCAAGUAGAGCAAGUCCUCCAAGCUUUUCAAUGAAUACGUCUCUCAUUUUCCUUCUGCUGAAUUCAUUUCCACGAAUAAGUUUUUAGGAAAUUCGAAAAGAUAUCGUAUACAUUGAAGCGCAUGCUACUGCUUUAAUAAGAACCUCCCUUCCCCCUCAAGAUAAUGUUUGCUGCUUCCAGCCCUUAAGUUUGGUAAGGAACUUAUCUUUUUCUUUAUUUUUUUUUUGGUGAAAGUAAGGACCUUAUCUUUGAUACGCCUCAAAGUUAAUGUUUUCGAAAGCCCCCACAAAGAAGGGAAACCCAAGUAGACGUCCGAAUUAUUUGCCACCUCUAUGUUAGUCUCUUCUUGAAUCAACCUUUCGUUGUCCCUUCGGGAGUAUUCACACUAAAAUCGUUGCUUCAUUUAUCAUAAUUGACCCUUCGUCUAGAAGCUGCACAAUAUUCUUGAAUCAAGUUAAUCAUUCUCCUGCAAUUUAACGAACUCGCUUCCAAAAAGAAUAGAAAUCGUUCGUGAAUAACAAAUGUGACACUACUGGAUAAUGACUACUAAGGCUAAUCCCAGAAAUAAAACUAGACUCGACUCUAUUAAUAAUCAUUACCCCUAGAACUCCUUUCAAUAUAUUCACCAUGAUCUUCGAUAUGAUUUAAUACUUAAAAUUACACAGACUAAUUGACCUAAAUUAUGUCAUUAAUUCAAAACAUUUAGUUUUCAGAAUUAAAAUUAUCUCAAUCUCAUUUGAAAAUUUCCCUUCCCUAAAAAAAAAAACUCUUAAUAGCUUCCAAAACAUCCUUUUUAAUAAUUUCCCAAUAAUUAUGAUAGAAAAUCCUAUUAAAAUCAUCCACGAAAAAAGAGAUUAAUUUAAUUGUUUUGUAUGCUUAACUUGUACAAUAUAAGUAAAAUCUUAUAAUUUUAUCUCCAAAUUCUCUCAACAAAUCUUUCUGACCCUUAUUUAUAAUCUCAUUUGUAUCUAACAGGAUAUCCAAUUUAAAAUCAAAUAAUCUUUUUUAUAUAAUUCUUUAAAUAUUAAAAGUAUUUUCCUCUAUUAUUUUUUGUUGUUGGAGUAUUAAAUAUUAGCCUUAAAACCAUAAGGCAUGAACUAUUCCAAACAACCCUUAAAAAGAUAUGUAAAUUUUGUGUUUGAAUAUCAUUUUUACUUUUUUAGAUUUCAAAUUGGAUAGUGAAUUAUAUAUUUAUUUAUUUGAAACUCCUCUUAAAUUAAUGAGAGUGAAGUUUCUUAUUUAGUAUUGAUUGUUCUAUAAAGUAUUCAAAUUUUUCAAAUAGAUUUAUUUUUUCAAGUGUAGUUAAUAACCGCAAUAAAAACUAAAUUUUAUAAGUGAUGAUUUUAUAUUAAAAAUUGUUUGAUAAAUUCAUAAAAUAUAAGUUUGGGUUCAUCUACUUUUACAUUUCUUUUACCUAUUUAAAUUAUUUCUUAAUCUUCCUUAUUUUUUAAAAAUUUAUUCUUAAUUUUUUAUACAGGAAAUAUAAUCGACGUCGUGGAAAUGAAAAAUUUAGGAGAGAACAUGGUUAAACAUUGUGCAAGGCUUCCAUUAGCCAUUGUUGUAUUGGGAGGACUUUUGGCUACAAAGAAUAAUUCAUUAAACGAAUGGCGAAAGAUAUCUGACAAUGUAAAAUCAUACUUGAAGAAAGGCAAAAAUCAAAGACCAGAGGAUGUGUUAGCAUUAAGUUAUGAUGAUUUGUGUUGGUGCAAGAACAGAAUCAAGCAGACUCAGCAAGUAUCUUGUCGAGCAAGCCUUAAAACUUGCUGAGCAAACAAACAAUUUCGAGUUAAAGAAAGAAGAGAAUAAGCUGGGAAAAUUUGAGAGAAUAUUGAUGAACAAAAGCUGAUUUCCAUUCAUACAUUGAACAAUGGCAUAAUGCCAAUACAUAAACCAAGCAAUUUGCUUGUCAAAAUCUGCAUAAUGAUACCUAAUCAUCACCUACUACCACUAAUACAUUGAAACUUGAAAAACUAAGCUUGCACACUUAAACAAAGCUGACUUAACAGCUUAAUUGUCAUCAAAAUACAUCAAUCAUAAACCUAACAUAGUUCUAAAUGAACUAAAGUACAUUACAUUAACUUAAGAUUACAAGUUGAUCAAAAUAGGAAUAGUUCAGCUCGUUCCAGCAGCUCCUGCAUGACUUGGUCUUGAUGGCCUGCAUGCUGUCGAGUUUGCUGCAUGCUGAACCAACUUCAUCACUCCUCCUUGGUUUGCAUGGAGCAAACACCUAGCAUCUUUCUUAGAUAUUCAAACCUUGUGACACUAAGAGCUUUGGUUAAAAUGUCAGCAAGUUGAUCCUCUGAAUUACAGUGGAUCAGCUUUACUUCCUGAGCUUGCUCCAUUUCUCGAACAACAUGCAACUUGAUGCUGAAAUGUUUUGUUCUUCCAUGGAACACUGGAUUUUUAGCAAUUGCUACUGCAGAUUGAUUGUCACAGAAGAUCUCUGUUGCUUCCAUUUGAUCCAUAUUCAAAUCAGCCAGGAUUUUCCUAAGCCAAAUGGCUUGGUUGACAGCACUUGCUGCUGCCACAUACUCUGCUUCAGCCGUAGAUUGUGCCACCAGACUUUGCUUCUUCGAGCUCCAGCAGAACAUGGCUGAACCAAGUCUAAAAGCAUACCCUGAGGUGCUUUUCAUGUCAUCUAUCGAUCCAGCCCAGUCACUAUCAGUGUACCCAACUAGAUUUAGAUUUCCUUUUCUGCUGUACCUUAAGCCAUAGUCCAAAGUGCCUUUGACAUAUCUGAGCACUCUCUUGGCAGCCUGGAAAUGCUUCUCAUUGCAACAAUGCAAGAACCUUGAGAGCAAUCCUACAGCAUACAUUAUGUCUGGUCUAGUGGCAGUCAAGUAUAGCAAACAACCAACUAGACUCCUGUAGGUAGUUUCACAUACCUUCUCAAAAUCUCCUUGGCUCGAUAGUUUUUCUCCAACAGCUACAGGUGUUUUAGUUGGUUUGCUGUUUUGCAUGGAGAACUUGGUCAGAAUCUUUGUGGCAAAGCUCUUCUGACUUAAAAAUAUCCCAUUCUGUGCUUGAGUCACCUCCAUUCCAAGAAAAUAGGACAUCUCCCCAAGAUCAGACAUUUCAAACACCUCUUGCAUCUUGGUCUUGAAAUUAACCAGCACUGCUUGAUCUCCUCCUGUCACCAGCAGGUCAUCAACAUAUAGGGACACAAUGAGUUGUGUUUGUGUCCCUUGCUUCUUGACAUACAGUGUUGGCUCACUCUUGCUUCGAUUGAAUCCCAGAUCAGUCAAGUAGCCAUCGAUUCUGCUGUACCAGGCCCUUGGAGCCUGUUUUAAGCCAUAUAGGGCCUUCUUCAAUUUGUAGACCAUAUGCUCUCUGCCAGCUAUUUCAAACCCUUGUGGUUGUUCAACAUAGAUGUCUUCAUCUAAGAAACCAUUCAGAAAGGCUGAUUUCACAUCAAGUUGAUGAAUCUUCCAUUCGAGCUGUGCUGCUAAGGCAAUCAGCAGUCUGAUGGUGUCGAGCCUGGCCACUGGUGCAAAGGUCUCCAAGUAGUCCAAGCCAUACCUCUGACUGAACCCCUUGACCACUAGCCUUGCUUUUAACUUGUUCAAGGUACCAUCAGCAUUCUGCUUGGCUUUGUACACCCAUUUCACCCCAAUCACCUUCCUUUUGACUGGCCUUUCAACCAAUUCCCAGGUCUGGUUCUUCUCAAUCAUGCUGAUCUCCUCAGCCAUUGCCUGCUUCCACCCUUGUUGAGCCUCAGCCUCUUCAAAGUUGCUUGGUUCAGCUAUGGCUACAUGAGCCCUUUCAUAAACCUCAGCCAAUGACCUUGUUCCUCUGACUGGUUCAUCAUCAAUAUCCAUUUCAGGGACAUUUUGGUCUGGCUCAGCUUGGUCUACUGCAAGUUCUUCAGAAACUUCUUCAGGUUCAUGUCUUUCCCAGUUCCAACAUGACCUCUCAUCAAAUACCACAUCCCUGCUUAUUGAUACUUUGUUUGUUGAAGGAUCUAAAAUCCUAUAGCCCUUCUUAACAGUGCUAUACCCCACCAAAACACCAGGUCGAGCCCUUUCAGACAAUUUGUCCCUUUUAACAGCAGGUACAUGUGCAUAACAGAUGCAUCCAAAGACCUUCAGAUGAGCCAAUGAUGGCUUGAAGCUAAACCAGGCCUCGAAUGGGGUCUUUUGAUCCAAAGCCUUGGUUGGAAGUCUAUUUUGAAUGUAUGUUGCAGUGUUAACUGCUUCUGCCCAUAGUGCUUUAGGCAGAUUUUUCUGAAUCAUCAAGCACCUGGCCAUAUCCAUCAAACUCCUAUUCUUCCUUUCACUUACCCCAUUCUGCUGAGGUGUAUAUGUGUUGGUAAGUUGAUGUUUGAUGCCUGCCUUAUCACAGAAGGCUUGGAACUGAGCUGAGGUGUACUCAGUCCCAUUAUCAGACCUUAUGGUCUUCAGCUUGCAGCCUGUUUCAGUCUCAGAAGCAGUCUUGAACUUCCAAAACACUGAGGCCACUUCAGAUUUCUGUUUUAAAAAGUAAAUCCAGCAAUAUCUCGAGAAAUCAUCAAUGAACAGUAUGAAAUACCUGUUUCCACUUAAUGACUCAGUCUUCAUAGGGCCACACACAUCAGUAUGCACCAGUUGGAGUUUUUCAGAGGCUCUCCAGGCUUGAUUCGAGGGAAAUGGGAGUCUGGCCUGCUUUCCUAGCUGACAUACAUCACAUACAUCAUCAUGGUCAACUGAGUUGAUGAAAUUUUCAGCCAGGUCCUCUCUGACCAUUCGAGCCAUCGAUCUGAAGUUGGCAUGUCCCAAUCUUUGAUGCCACAGCUUGGAUUCAUCUGAAGUGGCUGUGUAGGCAAUGUCUGACUUUUUUGUCCAGUCAACCACAAAGCUCUUAUCAGCCAUAGGGACUGCCAUCAGUUUGGAUCCACUUGGAUCACUGAUUUGGCAAUGGUGGUCUUUAAACACAACUGAAUAACCUUUUUCCAGCAACUGAGCUAUGCUGAGCAGGUUUCUGUCAAUUUCAGGUACCAACAGCACAUUUGAAAUCACUUUGGUACCUGUAAGGGUGCAUAUCAGCACAUCACCCUUGCCUUCAGCUUGAAUAAAAUGACCAUUUCCUAUCUUGACUUUAGUUCUGCAGCUUCUGUCUAAAGACUUGAAGAUUGCAGCAUCAGGUGUCAUGUGGUUGGUGCAUCCACUGUCUAGAAGCCAACCAGAUGAGGACUUUUCCUGAGCAGCUGAGCAUGACACAGCAAAGACUUGCUCCUCUUGGUCACUGUCCUCCUUAGCUACUCGAGCCUCAGCUUUCAUCUGUUGAAACUGAUUCUGCCUCGAUUUGGUCUUACUCUUGCAGACUCUCUCAACAUGACCCUUCUUCUUACAAUGCUGACACACAGCAUCUGGAUUGAACCAGCAUUUUUCUUCUGAAUGACCAGCCUUUCUACAGUGCUUGCAAGUCUGACCUUCUCUCCUUGCAGCAUCAUUCUUUGGCUUGUCUCUCCAGGCCUUCUUGCCUUUGUAGGCAGUAUUUGUUCUUGCCUGAAAGGCACCUUCUUGGUGCUCCUCCAGUCUGCUUGCUCUCCUCUGCUCUUGAGCAUAUAGAGCAUUGAUCAACUCUGUCAGGGAGAUGGUGGACAGAUCCCUUGAGUCCUCGAGAGAUGAGAUUUUUGCCUCAUACCUCUCAGGCAGAGUUGCUAUAACCUUCUCCACUAUCCUAGCUUCAUUGAACUGCUCUCCAAGGAGCCUGAUGCUGUUAACCACAGCCAUAAUCCUGUCAGAAUAUUGCUUGACAGUUUCUUCUUCCUUCAUCUUCAAAUUCUCGAAAUCUCUCCUCAAAUUUAACAACUGUUGCUGCCUUGUCCUCUCAGUCCCUUGAAACUCUUCCUGCAACUUAUCCCAGGCCUGUUUUGGUGAUUCACAGGCCAUAAUCCUUGUGAAAAUCACAUCAGACACUGAGUUUUGGAUGCAAGACAUAGCUUUGUGCCUCUUGGUCCUUUCAUCAGCAUGCUGCCUGAUCUGAGCCACUGUUGGAUUAGCUCUAAGUGGCUCUGGUUCAACAUCAAAGUUGACCACCUCCCACAGAUCGAAAGCCUGCAGGUAGGUCUUCAUUUUGACCACCCAUAUGUGAUAGCCUUCUCCAUUGAAGACUUGAGGUGCAGCUGGUGAAAAGCUUGAUGAAGCCAUGGAAAUUGAGUAACAGAUCCCUUAAGAAAUAGGCUCUAGAUACCAAUUGUUGGUGCAAGAACAGAAUCAAGCAGACUCAGCAAGUAUCUUGUCGAGCAAGCCUUAAAACUUGCUGAGCAAACAAACAAUUUCGAGUUAAAGAAAGAAGAGAAUAAGCUGGGAAAAUUUGAGAGAAUAUUGAUGAACAAAAGCUGAUUUCCAUUCAUACAUUGAACAAUGGCAUAAUGCCAAUACAUAAACCAAGCAAUUUGCUUGUCAAAAUCUGCAUAAUGAUACCUAAUCAUCACCUACUACCACUAAUACAUUGAAACUUGAAAAACUAAGCUUGCACACUUAAACAAAGCUGACUUAACAGCUUAAUUGUCAUCAAAAUACAUCAAUCAUAAACCUAACAUAGUUCUAAAUGAACUAAAGUACAUUACAUUAACUUAAGAUUACAAGUUGAUCAAAAUAGGAAUAGUUCAGCUCGUUCCAGCAGCUCCUGCAUGACUUGGUCUUGAUGGCCUGCAUGCUGUCGAGUUUGCUGCAUGCUGAACCAACUUCAUCAAUUUGCCUCCCUAUCUAAGACCAUGUUUCCUCCAUCUAAGCCAUUUUCCGGAGGAUUAUAUGAUAGAUGUGGAUAGAUUGACUCAAUUAUGGGUUGCUGAAGGUAUUGUGUCAUCAAAGCAAGAAGAAAGAAAUUGUGGACAAAUUGCGGAAGAUGUGGCGGAAUCUUAUUUAACGGAGCUUGUGGAAAGGUGUAUGAUUCAAGUACGAGAAAGAGAUGUGGCAACCUUAAAGGUCAAAACAAUUCAGAUGCAUGAUCUGAUGAGAGAUCUUUCCUUAUCAAAGGCAAAACAAGAAAAUUUUGUCUUCAUUGUCGAUCAAUCAAAUGCAUCUUCAUUAUCUAUGAUUCGGAAGGUUCGAAGGGUUUCUG